UUUUUUUUCGUAUAUAGGAGUAACAUGUUAUAUUUUGAGUUUGUGUUUUUUUCUCAGGUUUUUUUUUCAUAUAUAACAUGUUAUAUUUUGAGUUAGUGUUUGAAAGAUACAUAUUUUGAAGACCAUUUCAUAUAUAACAUGUUACAUUUUGAAUUAGUGUUUGAAAGAUAAAUAUUUUGAAGACCAUUUUAAUCUGUCGGGAAAUAGAAACAAAAAAGUCUAUCAGAAAAAAGAAACAGAAAAAGAUGAAAAAAGAGUAACAUCUUAUAUUUUGAGUUUGUGUUUUUUUCUCAGGUUUUUUUUCAUAUAUAACAUGUUAUAUUUUGAGUUAGUGUUUGAAAGAUACAUAUUUUGAAGACCAUUUCAUAUAUAAAAUGUUACAUUUUGAGUUAGUGUUUGAAAGAUAAAUAUUUUGAAGACCAUUUUAAUCUGUCAGGAAAUAGAAACAAAAAAAGUCUAUCAGAAAAAAGAAACAAAAAAAGAUGAAAAAAGAUGAGGGAGCUGGGUCUCGAACCCACGUCUCGCAGAUACAAGACCGACGCUCCAGCCAACGCACUACUUAAAUCCUUCUGUACCCUAGGGACACCGCUUUUACAUAAACCAUGGUCUAGCACCACGAAAAAAACUGAAUCGCUUUCCCUCACUUAUAGGUGGCAUUUGUGGGUAAUAUUUAGCAACUUUAGGGGAAAAUUAGGUGACGUACCACCAGAAACAAUAGAUGCUUUAUUAUUAGGGGAGAUAAAUAUGUUGGAGACGUAUCAGCAUCCUCAAGCUUAAUUCAUGCUAACCCUCGAGUAGGUAAAUGAUAAAAUAAAUAAUUUAUGAAGUGUGAAUGCCAGCAUAGUGCAUAAAUUUGAUCAAUGAUAGUUCCAAACACUUUUUCUAGCAUCAUUAUAUAUCAUAAAUAGUAGCUCAUCUCAUGAAAUUUCUCAUGAUCAAGUAACAACUAUUGACAUGUUAAAGCAUGGACCAAAAACUUUCUUGAAAACAAACAAACUAUGUUCUCAGUCAUCAAAAAAUUGCAGUUCAUCUUAUAUUUAGGAAAGGUCUAUGUAAGAGCUUUGAUUUAGCAAAUUCCACAUACUCAACUAUCAUAAUGUCUUCCAUGAUUGCUGACACUCAAAGCAUAUUUUUAGAACAAAUAGCAUCCAUCGAACAUAGAGAAAGAUAGGGGCUUAAUGUUUCGCCUCCCAGCUUAUUUAUCAUAUAGAUAAUUGUCAACAAUAAUAGUUCAUGAUCAAAUAUAUUUGAAUGGCCAUAUAUGCUUGGAUCUUUCCCACCACAUGAUACUUGCCAACUAGAGAAUAAUUGGGGUUGAAAUGAGAAGGAAUACUACUAACUCUUGCAUAAAAGUAAAAGAUAGGCCCUUCGCAGAGGGAAGCAGGGAUUUGGAGAGGUGCCAGAGCUCGAAGCUUUUAAAAUAAAGAUGAAUAAAAUUUUGAGAGGUAUGCUUUCAUUGUUAACAUAACGACCGAGAGUUCCCAAUAUCUUCCAUGCUAGACAAAUUUUUAACACCUUGGAUUUUGCCCUUUUCUUUUUUUGAUGAUUUUCUUGGAUUUCUUGUUUUGAAUUGUUUUUCCGUGGCUAUGUGGUUCUGAAACUUGGGAAGAUCAUGUCUUCCUAGGUUUUAUGGUAGCUUGUCAUCCUCAUCAUCAUCCCAGGAUCAUGUUAUUUUCAUCCUAGCCCAAGUCUCAAUAUUCUUUUGUUGGGAAUAUUCCUUUUCUAUUAAAGGAAUAACCCUAUUUGCCCUAGGUUAUGAAGCAGCCCACCUUUCUGCCACUCUAAAAAUUCCCAAAUAAUUCUCAUAAAUUGUUUGGGUCAUAUCUUCCUCAAAUAUGGCAAAACUUUUCAUUGCCAUGUUCAAAAAUAAUCCUCAAAUAAUUCCUUUACUAUUCUGCACUAAAUGGCACUGUGUGAAAGAAGUGCUAUUUAUCUUUUCUUGAUUGACCCCAAACUUUUUGGACAUCUUUUCCUGUCCAUGUCAUUGCCUCUUGCCAAAAUUCAACUCAAUUUGCCUAGUAUAUGUUCCUGAGCAAUUUUCAAAGUUCCUGUCUGAGAGAAGCCUUUGUGAAGGAAGUACUAGCUAGGGUAAUCCAAAUGAGUUGAAAUUUUGCAAGCUCCUUCAUUUGAUAAAAUCAUGUCUCUCCACCAAAUUUGAGCUCAUGUAACCCAUCCAUGUGAGCCCCAGCUUCAAAUCUUGGUUUUCGGUUAGAUUUAUAAUUUGUGAAGCAACCAUAUUUUAUAUUGCUUCAUUUAAGCUGAAAAUUUACCAGGGCAUUCUCUUAUCCCUAUCAACUAUCUCCACCAAGUUUUGGCUCAAUUCAUCAAACCAUUUGCCCUGUGGAAUUUUUCCAAGUUUCUGUCCAGGAUAAAGCUCUGUGAAAUACCACAUCUCCUCCGAAUUUCAGCUCAUGACAAUCAUGUAUAUGAGUGCAACUUCAAAAUUCCCAAAUCUAACCAGUAGGGCCCUUUCCACGGCAACUACCCUCUAAACUUCUCCUCUUAAGCUGAUUUUUGGUGAUCAACAUCAUCUUAGUAUGUGAUCAUCACCAGACAAAUCCCUUCUUUCGUUCCCAAGCUGGUGUCCCCACUGCACAACACAAACACUUGGCUGUUGGUCUAAUUUGGGGCCAUCUGCAUUUCUCUUCUUUGCCCUUGAGUUCAUUUCUUUCUUCAUUUAUACUCAAGGCACUAAGGUCUAUCUACUAGGCAUGGUCGGUCUGGCCAAAAUGAGCUAUUUGCACCAGUGCACGCGGUGAUCAUGCUUGUGUCUUUGCAAACUCGCGAUCUGGCUCGUUCUGGCCGUUGUUCGCGUCGUUUCCCUCCGCGUCUCGACCUCAAACCUUGUCCAGGAGCUAGCCCGUGCUCGUCUGCACCGCCCUGCAUCGCUGCCCCUCCUUAUCUCUGUAGCGACCAGAGCUCAAACGGUCAAGUCUUUAUGCAUCAAUGUCAUCCCUAGAUUGGUAAUGCUGACACACACAGUACUCUAGGAAUUAUAACAGAGUUUCAAUCACACACUUAUUACAUCGAGUCCUCAUAAAGAGUAUGAUUACACAAAAAUAUCAUGGCUGAAGGCCAUCUAAACUAAAUAACUGUGGAAGCUUCAAAGGUAAAUGAGUCCAUCAACUCCAACGGCAUAGCUGAGUGCAAAACAACGACCUAUCGCACCUUAUUCAUUGUCUAAGUAGUCUGCAACAUGAGACGUUGCAGCCAUGUUAGUCAGCACAUUGAAUAUGCUGGCAGAGUUACACUUUAAAGCAAUGAAAUGCAAGAACUAUAUCUACAUGCAAUAUUUGGCUGGUGGAGGCUGUAAGUUUAUGAUUUUUGCAUAAAGCUAGUUUUUUCCUACAACAAAGGAAUAAAUUUAUCUAACUACCCCCAAGUUGCCCAAUAUUUGAGAAGGUAACCCCAACUCAAAUCCCAAUUAAAAGUAUCAUCAUUAACCCAACAAUUUAAUUAAAGUAACGUGAUGAGAUCACAUCAAUAGAUUCAAGUACUAGAUACUCAAAUUGUCCAUAACCAGGGACACGGCUAACCAUGAUUAGUUUAUACACUCUGUAGAGGGUUUGCGCACUUUUCCCCACAAGACUCGACCGCAUCCAUGAUCGGAUGAUCGAGACAAAGUCUUUCUCAAGCAUUAACUCUCUACUCUGGGUGGACCAGUACACCUACUUUCCCCUACAUCUGCUAGUCCACCUCUUCAAGAGCUCAUGCAACUUACUCAACUAUGCCAGAGCCCAUAAUGGCUUGUGGCUGCACACGGAAGUUUCUAGCAUGAAUAAUCUUAUGAUCCCUUUAAGCCUGGGUGGCGAACCGUAGGAAAAAUCACACGGGUACUCCAGGAUUUCCUGAAACAGGUAACACUGGGUUCCCCAGGUGCCUCAACCAACGCACCAAGAUGUAUAUUAAAGUUGCCACCUUAAUGUUAUCCAUGAUUAAAUAACUCUCAAACUUCCAUGUGUGAAUCACUACCCAAUCCCCGUCUAUGAGCAUGGCUAAGCAAUAAUGAGCAUAACGUAUAUUCCCGGGGUGUUCAAAAGGUAUUAGGUUCCUACCUCAAGCACUACAACAAAAACCACAUGUUCCCAAUCCUACUCAUGCAAAUAUUUGAGGGGCGGAACUAAUGCGUAGUAAAAACUGGGUAUAAAAGAGUAUGAUCAAAGUGUAACUUGCCUUGCUGACAAUCUACAAACUCUAGAGAUUCGUAGUAACAAGCUUCACACUCCGGGUGAUCUAGCGUAGACAAACAGUAGCAUACAUGAGAUAUCACUCAAACGAAACAUCAAGAAAACCGAGAAAAGCUCCAAAUCAAACAUGAACCAAACAAAUGGCUUAAACUAACAAAAGUCAAACCUAACAGCAAUAUUAUCAUGUGAAUUAGAUCUUAACAAUAGGUACAUGAGAUUAGCUACGAUUGGCAAAAAGAUUCAACUCAAACGGAGCAACGAAACUCAAAAUACGAACGAAACAAGAUCAUUUACUAAUCUGGACUAAACUCAAAUAUUACAGUACCCAAAUCAUGUUCAAGUUGGUUAACUGGAAAGAACAGAAUGAUACGAAGAUUUAGGCGCUAGUUUCAACUAAUUUGGAUAAACGAGUAAAAAGUUAUGCUAGUUUAAAGUUAAGGGGCUAAGUCACGAUAAAAUUAUUCGCAGAUAGGUCCCUGGCCGAAAAUAAAACUAAAAAGAAAAACCUACGGCGCGAACAUUCGCUAAUAGAACAAAUCUAACGAGUACUGUUCAUUAAAAUGAACGAACGAACGUUCGUUAAAUAAAUAAAACCGAUCUAAACUACACCAAAAAAACCGAGAUCGAACCGAGCGGUUUUAUACCGUUAGCCGAGUCGGUUCAACGGCGAGAUCCGGCGACGGCGAUGGCGUGGGGCGGCAGCUACACGGCGGCGGCGGGCAUCGGCGGCAGCGGCAGCAGGCGGCGGCGGCGGCGUGACUCGGUGGCGGUGCGGCAACGGCGAGACGAUGAGGAGGCGGCGGCCUCGGGGCGGCUUUUAAAGCCCCCCCCCUGAGUUCUCCGACUUGGAGAGGGGGUCGGCGAGGCGGUGGCGAGUCGGACUCCUCCGGGAGUCCGGCGACUCCACGGCGGGCGACGCGGGCGAGGUGGGCUUGGCCCGGCUCGGCUCGGGCCGGCCCAGAACUUUUUUUAAAUAAUUUCACCGCAAGGAAAAAUCCUUAAUAAAUAUAAAAAAUGCUAAAAAUUCCAGAAACAAUUUUCACUGUCCAAACCUAAAAUUUAGGACAAGAUGAUCAUUUUUAUGGACUAAGAUGCAAUUUUCAAAAAUGCAACAUUUUUCUAAUUCAAAUAAAAUAACAAUAAAAUUAUAAUUUUGAUUUUAAAAUUCUUUCUCCAAUAUUUCUCUUAGGUUGAAUAAGUCAUAUUAUCUUCUCUCUUAUAUUUUUAAUAUCGGAAAUAAUUGGAGAGAAAAAUAAUAAAAAUCAAAUUGAUCCUUUCUUCAAAUUUGAAUUAAAUUCAAAUAUGAUUUUUGUGAAACCUCCAACUCUCUCCUUGGGUCCUUGAGUUGCUUAAGAUUUCUAGUAUCACAACAGAAUGCAAAAACAAAUAUGAUAUGCAUAUGAUGAUCUAUGUAUAACAUCCAAAUUGAAAAUUAGGAUGUUACAAACCUACCCCCCUUAAGAUCAAUCUCGCCCUCGAGAUUCGGGUUGGUCAGCAAAAAGGUUUGGGUGGUCUCUACGGAGAUCUUCUUCUCGCUCCCAGGUGGCUUCCUCCUCGGUAUGGUGGCUCCACUGAACUUUGCAAAACUUCAUAACCUAGCUGCGAGUAACUCGACUAGGAAACUCGAGAAUCUUGACUGGCUUCUUUUCAUAGGUAAAAUCACUAUCUAACUGAAUUGCUUCCAGUGGCACUGUAUCUCUCAAAGGAAUAUCAGCCAUCUCUGCAUUGGCACUUCUUCAACUGGGAAACGUGAAAAACAUCAUGAACUCCUGACAAUCCUUCUGGCAAUUCCAGCUUGUAUGCGACUUCUCCCAUGCGUUCCAAGACCCUGUAUGGUCCCAGAAAACAUGUUGCUAGCUUUCCCUUGACUCCAAAAUGCUUAAAUCCUCGAGUUGGGGACACCUGAAGAUAUGCUCUGUCUCCGACUUCGUAAACUAUCUCCUUGCGUUUAAUAUCCGCAUAACUCUUCUGGCUGGACUGGGCUACCUUGAGUCUGUCAUGAAUCAACUUAACCUUCUCUUUCGAGUCUUUGAGUAAGUCUGGUCCGAACAACUGUCGGUCUCCAACUUCAUCCCACGAUAAUGGUGUCCUGCAUCUCCUUCCGUACAAAGCUUCGAAAGGGGGCAUCUUCAAACUGGCUUGAUAACUGUUGUUAUAAGAGAACUCUGCAUAUGGAAAAUUGCCAUCCCAACUAGAUCCAUAAUCUAGUGCACAAGCUCUCAACAUGUCCUCCAGAAUCUGGUUGACUCGCUCGGUUUGUCCAUCUGUCUAUGGAUGAAAGGUUGUACUGAACUCUAGCUUGGUACCCAAAGUUUCACGCAACUGAUUCCAAAACUUUGAAGUAAACUGGGUUCCUCUAUCUGAUAGAAUGGUCCUCAGAGCUGCAUGCAGACAUACGAUCCUGGUAAUGUAUAUCUUUGCCAACUUAGCACUCGUAUAGGUGGUCUUCACCGGGAUGAAAUGGGCUACUUUCGUCAAACGAUCGACUAUAACCCAGAUAGAGUCAUAGCCUGAACGAGUCCUGGGUAAUCCAGUGAUAAAAUCCAUGCCAAGGUUAUCCCACUUCCAUUCGGGUAUCGGCAAUGGCUGUAGCAAUCUAGCUAGCUUCUGAUGCUCUGCCUUGACUCUUUGACAUACAUCACAUACUGCUACAUACUCGGCAAUAUCCUUCUUCAUUCCUGUCCACCAGAAACUUUCCUUCAAGUCCACAUACAUCUUAGUGUUUCCUAGGUGAAUCGAGUAUGGUGAAUCAUGGGCCUCCUGCAGAAUCAACUUCCUGAUCUCCGGGUCAUUAGGCACAUAUAUGCGAUCCUCAAACAAUAAGGUGCCGUGCUCAUCCUCACGAAAUCCUUUAGCCUUUCCUUUGUUCAUCCUUUACUUUAUUUCUGCAAUCUCCUUGUCAGUCUUCUGGGCUUCUCUGAUCUUACCCAAAAGAGUGAACUGAAUUUCCAAUGCUGCGACAUAACCUCUCGGAACUAUCUCCAAGCAUAGCUCUCGAAGAUUCUCUGCUAACACCUUUGGUAAUCCUCCGGUUAUGAGCGUGUUAACAUAACUCUUGCGGCUCAAUGCAUCUUCUACCACAUUGGCCUUUCCGGGAUGAUAGUGCAAUUUCAUAUUAUAAUCCUUUAUGAGCUCCAACCAUCUCCUUUGCCUGAGCUCCAACUCCUUCUGCAUGAAGAUGUACUUCAAACUCUUAUGAUCUGUGUAUACAUCACAAUGGUUUCCGAUGAGAAAUUGUCUCCAUGUCUUCAGCGCAUGCACUAUGGCUGCUAACUCCAAAUCAAGCGUAGCAUAAUUUAGCUCAUGAAGUUUAAGCUGUCGUGAGGCAUAUGAAACAACUCUUCCUUCCUGCAUAAGUAUAGCUCCAAGUCCUCGACGGGAAGCGUCGCAAUAUACUUGGUAAUCCUUAGGUUGGUCUGGGAGAAUCAGCACUGGGGCUGUAACCAAACGUUUCUUCAACUCCUGAAAACUGGCUUCAGACUCCUCAGUCCAUUUAAACUUGGUGUCCUUCUUCAAUAACUCCAUCAUGGGCUUUGCAAUCUUGGAGAAAUUCUCAAUAAACCUCCGAUAAUAGCCUGCAAGUCCAAGAAAACUUAUGAUUGCUCCAACUGUUGUGGGUGCCACCCACUUAGUAACAGAAGCAACCUUGGUAGGUUCUACUGCUAUUCCUUCUCUGGAUAUAACAUGUUUGAGAAAUCCAACUUCCUUUAAUCAAAACUCACAUUUGCUGAACUUGGCACACAACUGAUGUUCCCUGAGCUUCUCAAGAACCAAACACAAAUGCUCCUUAUGCUCCUCUUCAUUCUUUGAGUAGACCAAUAUAUCAUCAAUGAACACCACGACAAACUUAUCCAAAAACUCCAUAAACACCUUGUUCAUCAUAUUCAUGAAAUAGGCAGGCGCGUUAGUCAGACCAAAUGACAUAACGGUAUACUCAUAUAGCCUGUUCCUUGUGGUAAAAGCUGUCUUAGAUAUAUCCUGCUCUCGGAUCUUCAAUUGGUGAUAACCUGAUCGAAGAUCGAUCUUAGAGAAAACUUUAGCUCCUUGCAACUGGUCAAACAAAUAUUGAUCAUCAUCAGAGGGUAUUUGUUCUUGAUCGUCACCUCAUUUAGCACACGGUAAUCAACUACCAUCCUCAAAGAUCCAUCCUUCUUCUCCACUAGAAGCACUAGGGCUCCCCAAGGUGAUGAACUUGGUAUAAUGUAACCUUUCUCCAGUAACUCCUUUAUAUGUGUCUUAAUUUCCUCCAGAUCCUGUGCGGGCAUCCACUACGGUCUCUUUAAUAUUGGUCGGUGAUGGCAAUAACUCAAUCAAAAACUCAAUGUCUCAAUCUGGUGGCAUGCCUGAUAAGUCCUCCAGAAAUACGUCGGGGUAAUCCUUCACCAUUGGUACUUCCUCCUGUACAACUCCUGAUAAGGAAUUCACCUGAGUCCUGCUUGGUGCAUGCCGGGAUACAUACUUGAUCCUCUUUCCUUCUGGGAUGGUGAGAAGAAUUGAUUUACUCGUGCAAUCGAUGUUCCCUUCAAACUUGGAUAGCCAAUCCAUUCCCAGUAUCACACCCAAUCCUUAUGACUCUAGAACAAUUAGGUCGGUGGGGAAAACAUGUCUACCUAUGGUUAGUGGCAACUGAUAGCAUCCCCUACUAGCCAUAUACUCCGCUCCUGGGGAACUUACUAAAAUAGGUGAUUUAAGGGCUACGGUUGGCAGAUUAUACUUAUCCAAAAAUCCCCUUGAUAUGUAUGAAUACGAUACACCAUUAUCGAAAAGAACAAGUGCGGUAAAUGCAUUUACCGACAACUGCGUCGGGUUGCUCCUCAAUCUCCUCCACGUUGAUGCAGUUCACCUGACCUUUGGUGAAGGGGUUGGGCUUCUUGGCAGAACCUCCAUUUCCAUCCAUUCUUAGCUUCAGGACAUUCAAUGGCAUAAUGUCUGGUCUUCUGGCACUUGAAAUAGGUAAUGUGGCUCAGAUCCCUCUUGACUGGUGUUGCAGGGUUGGGACGGUUCUGUCUACUGCUUCCUCCAUUUCCAUUGCCAUUCUUGGGGCCACUACGGUUGUGCGAACUUGCUCCAUUGUGCGUAUGUCCUCCAUGGUUGUGGCCUCCAUGGUUGUGGUUAUGUCCUCCCGAGUACGGGGAAUAGCGGGGACUCAAAUGUCCAUAACCGGGGACACGGCUAACCAUGAUUAGUUUAUACACUCUGCAGAGGUUUGCGCACUUUUCCCCACAAGACUCGACCGCAUCCAUGAUCGGACGAUCGAGACAUAGUCUUUCUGAAGCAUUAACUCACUACUCCGGGCGGACCGGUACAGCUACUUUCCCCUACAUCUGCUAGUCCACCUCUUCAAGAGCUCACGCAACUUACUCAACUAUGCCAGAGCCCAUAAUGGCUUGUGGCUGCACACGGAAGUUUCUAGCAUGAAUAAUCUUAUGCUUCCUUUGAGCCUGGGUGGCGAUCCAUAGGAAAAAUCACACGGGUACUCCGGGAUUUCUUGAAACAGGCAACACUGUGUUCCCCAGGUGAUGUGACGGCAGCCCGAUCUUUCAAUGAGAGUGGGGAUAAAUAUCGAUUUGGUGGAUUUUGACCUUGACGAUCCGGCUAUACCGUACCCGACGAUACGCCUCGACAAUCGCUAAACCAAUCUCCGAUGGUUAUUGACCUUGCCGUAGGCACGAUCAACCUUAACAACGAGGUUCGAGUUCCUGCAAGCAACCGAAGAACCGGCAAGAACAAAGGUGAAUUGCAACUGAAAUUGUGGAUAAAAAACUGAGCACACGAACUAGAUGAAAAGUUGGGGUUCCCCUGUGGAUCUGACAAGGCGGUAGUCCUACACGUCUCGUAGAUGUGAAUUGUAGCGAUGGCUAGACAAUACAAUAAAACCUGAGUCUAAACCUAGAUGAAUGCUAACUAUUUAUUAAGUCCGUACGUCUGCCGCCUAGGAGCUGCGCGUUGACGUGUCCAACACUGCUACGAUUUGAAGGAAAUAAUCUCAUCAGGCUGGCCCACAUGUAGAUAGAAUAUUGUAUGGUUUCCUUCUUUAUUUGAUGAUGUGGCUUGUGUGUACGUGGCCUCCUCCUUCUCUCCUUUUGCAUGUACGUAGCAUGGAGCAUGGAUGGUCCAAUUGGUUCUUGCAUGCAAUAGUGCUCCUGCUGGUGUAGUCAACAUGAAACAUUUUCCAUCUCCUAGCUUCAUAUUACUUUCUCUCGUCAGAUCUUCAACACCUUCGUUUCUAAGUACAAGUAAAUCGAAACAUGAGUGUAAUGUCAUAUUCUUGUCAGUUAAAUUAUGUGUACAAAGGAGCGAUAGUACCUGGCCAUUAAUUUGUCUCGCUCGUGCUCUAGUAAUAGGACCAAGUGGAAUAACUGAUGUAGGAGUCACAGCGGGCAUAACAGUAGAAGAGAUGUUCUCAUCAUCCCCCCCCCCUUCUUGAAUUGAAGUCGUCCUCGAUGGUAUCUCAUCGUCCUCACGAAAAUAAGGCUUUAAAUCUGCAAUGUUAAAUGUGGGACUAACCCGAAAUUCUGCAGGCAAAUCAAGCUUAUAUGCAUUCUCGUUAAUUUUUUCAAGCACUUUAAAAGGUCCAUCUGCACGAGGCAUUAACUUUGACUUUCUUAAAUCAGGGAAGCGGUCUUUGCGCAAAUGUAACCAUACUAAAUCACCUGGUUCAAACACAAUAUUGUUUCUACCCUGACUACCAGCAAGUUUAUACUUGGCAUUCAUGCGUUGAAUAUUUUUCUUAGUCAUCUCAUGCAUUUUUAACACUAACUCAGCACGUUCUUUAGCAUCAUGGUUUACCUUCUCCGAAGAUGGAAUAGGUAAUAAAUCAAUAGGCGCACGAGGUAUGAAUCCAUAAAAAAUCUCAAAAGGGCAUUACUUUGUGGUAUAAUGAACUGAACGUUUAUAAGCAAACUCUACAUGAGGUAGACAUUCUUCCCACAUUUUUAAGUUCCUUUUCAAAACAGCCCUAAGCAUAGUGGACAAUGUUCGAUUAACCACUUCAGUUUGACCAUCUGUUUGAGGAUGACACAUAGUAUUAAAUAAAAGCUUAGUCCCCAGUUUUGUCCACAACACCCUCCAAAAGUGGCUAAGAAACGUGUCACGAUCAGAAACAAUUGUAUUUGGCACACCAUGUAAACGAACUACUUCUCUAAAGAACAGAUCAGCAAUGUGAGUAGCAUUGUCACUUUUAUGACAAGGUAUAAAAUGUGCCAUCUUAGAGAAUCGAUCAACAACCACAAAUAUACUAUCCCGCCCCCCUCGUGUCCUAGGCAGUCCUAAUACAAAGUCCAUAGAUAUAUCUUCCCAAGGAGUGCUAGGAACAGGAAGAGGCAUGUAUAAACCAUGUGGGUUCAAUCGUGACUUAGCUUUUUGGCAUGUCGUGCAGCGUGCAACAUAUCUCUCCACAUCCCUUCUCAUUUUUGGCUAGAAGAAAUGACCAGCAAGUAUGUCUUCUGUCUUUUUGACACCGAAAUGUCCCAUAAGUCCUCCGCCAUGUGCCUCCUGUAACAACAAAAGACGAACAGAGCUAUCUGGGAUGCAUAGCUUAUUAGCACGAAAAACAAAUCCGUCAAUAACGACUAACUUGUUCCAAGUUCUACCCUCUCCGCAAUUGAGCAAAAUAUCUUUAAAAUCGACAUCAUUAGCAUAUUGCUCUUUUAUAGUUUCAAGUCCAAAAAUGUUGUCAAGUUGUGAUAACAUGGUAUAGCGCCUAGACAAUGCAUCGGCAAUAACAUUCUCCUUCCCUUUCUUGUGCUUAAUAACAUGUGGAAAAGAUUCAAUAAAUUCAACCCAUUUUGCCUGUCUACGGUUUAGUUUGCUUUGACUUCUAAUAUGCUUGAGUGAUUCAUGAUCAGAAUGUAUGAAAAACUCCUUAGGCCAUAAAUAAUGUUGCCAUGUCUCCAAAGUCUGAACUAGCGCAUAAAGUUCUUUAUCAUAUGUUGUAUAAUUCAGACUAGGCCCACCGAGUUUUUCACUAAAGUAUGCUACUGGUUUGCCUUCUUGCAAUAAAACACCGCCUAAACCAAUGCCGCUAGCAUCACAUUCCAAUUCAAACAUCUUAUUAAAAUCAGGUAAUUGCAGCAAAGGGGCGUGUGUAAGCUUAUCUUUAAGAAUAGUGAAGGCUUCCUCUUGUGCGUCGCUCCAAACAAAUGGCACAUUGUUCUUUCUGAGCUCGUUGACCGGCGUUGCGAUGGUACUAAAAUCCUUCACAAACCGCCGGUAUAACUCAGCAAGCCCGAGAAAACUUCGUACCUGUGUGACCUAGUUAGGGGUCGGCCAACUCUGGAUCGCUUCAACCUUGGCUUUAUCAACUUCAAUUCCCUGUGCCAUCAAAACAUAGCCAAGAAAAGCAACUCGAUCCAUGCAAAAAGUGCACUUCUCGAUAUUACAAAUAAACGUGCAUCACGCAGAGCAGAAAAAAUAGCACGCAAAUGGUCUAAGUGUUCCUCUAUUGACUUACUAUAAAUCAGAAUAUCAUCGAAGUAUACUACCACAAAUCGUCCAAUGAUAGCUCGCAAAACUUCAUUCAUUAGUCUCAUGAAAGUACUAGGUGCAUUAGUCAAUCCAAAAGGCAUAACUAACCACUCAUAUAAACCAAAUUUAGUUUUGAAAGCAGUUUUCCAUUCAUCGCCUAGUUUCAUACGAAUUUGAUGGUAGCCACUACGCAAGUCCACUUUAGAAAACACAACUGAGCCACUGAGUUCAUCAAGCAUGUCACCUAAUCUAGGAAUAGGAUGACGAUAUCGAAUUGUAAUAUUAUUGAUGGCUCUACAAUCAACACACAUACGCUAAGUACCGUCUUUUUUACGAACAAGUAAAAUUGGUACAGCACAUGGACUAAGGGAUUCACGAAUGUAACCUUUUUCAAGUAGUUCUUGAACUUGUCGCUGAAUCUCCUUAGUCUCCUCUUGGAUUAGUCCGGUACGGCGCACGGUAGGGUAAUGAGGCGCCAGGUAUCAAGUCAAUUUGAUGUUCAAUACCUCUCAUAGGUGGCAGCCCCGGUGGUACUUCCUUUGGGAAAACAUCAUGAUACUCCUGCAAAAGGUUAGCGACAACAGGAGGCAAAGAAGAAGGCAUAUCCUCAAAUGAAAACAAAACUUCUUUGCAAAUAAGAGCAUAACAUUCAUUAGUAUGAGCAUCUAACUCAAAAAUUUCAGCACGUGUAGCUAAGAAAGAAGCACCUUUCAAUUUAAUUUCUUUAGAUGUGCUAGGAUCAGAUUUGUGCAUCUUAUUAAAUUGUUCUAACUCAUCAACAACUUUCUGAUUUUCAGAUUUAGUACGCUCAAUAUUUGUGUUUCUACUUCCCCUAGCAAGGUCAUCUUUUAAAAUUUGCUCAGGAGACAUAGGGUGUAGAAUGAUUUUCUUUCCUUUAUGUGUGAGAGUGUACUGAUUAGUUCUACCAUCAUGUAAACAUUGUUUAUCAUAUUGCCAUGGCCUUCCUAGUAACAUAGAACAAGCUUGCAUAGGCACAAUAUCGCAAUCAAUAGUGUCAUGGUAUGAACCUAAAGAAAAAGGAACUCUCACCAUGCAUGUACCUUUACCUCUCCACCAUCAUUAAACCAUUGAAUGUAGUAAGGUUGUGGAUGUUGUCACGAAAGGUAGGGAGAGCUUCUCCACCAUGUCAAUGCUUGCUAAAUUGUUACAACUCCCUCCAUCAAUGAUUAUGCGAACGGAACACUCCUCGACAACUCCUUUGAUGUGGAAGAGGUUGUGACGCUGACCCUUCUUUGCUUUGACAAUCUGAGCACUAAGUACACGAUGUGAUAUAAGACUCAUGUACUUAUCAGCGUCGGCGGCGGUCACAUGUUCUUCCACUUGCGCCGGGCUUGUGACAUCGUCUUCAUGUGCAGAAAGCAAGGCAUAUGUGUCUUCAUCAAAAUCACUAGCGGAAUCAUACUCGCCGUCUUCACGAAUGAUCAAUACACGCUUAUUACACUCCUUCAUGACAUGGCCAAAUCCCUUACAAGUGUGGCACUGGAUAUCCUUUGUUCUUUUCGAGGAAGCAGAUGAGGAUGACGAACUUUUUGUUGGAAUUGGUGUAGUAAUUUUCAGUGGUGCCAAAGUGUGUGAUGCUGAAGUUGAUGAAGUAGGCCCCGAUCGAGAGGUGGCAGGUGAUGUCGUGGAGGUGCGAGCGGACGGGGCAGCAGGGGUCAGCGUCAUAAAUUGGUCAUGAAGUGCAGGAUCUAAAUCUGAGCACUAAGCCCAUGUAGAGGUACGACCUGCAGAAAAAUGAGAACGCAUUCUCGAGCGACCCUGCACUUCAUGUUCAGCAUGUAUAGCAAGAUGGAAUAAAUGGGUCAUUGAAUGAUAAUCCUUAUAAGCAAGUAUGUCAUAAAUUUCUCUAUUCAAUCCACCCAAGAACCUAGCCAUAGAGGCUUCAUCGGUCUCAACUAAACCACAACGUAACAUGCCCAUUUGCAAUUCUUGAUAAUAGUCUUCCACAGAUUUAGAUCCUUGGUUCAACCGUUGUAGUUUAUUUAGCAAGUCACGUUCAUAAUAUCCAGGAACAAAACAGUGACACAUUACUAAUUUCAAAGCUUCCCAAGUGGCUGGAAUAUUAUUAGGAUGUUUACGACAAUAUUCUCUCCACCAAACAGAAGAAAAAUCACUAAACUCACUAGUUGCAGCCCUAACUCAUCAGGAAAAUCAUAGCAAGCAAAUUUUUGAUCAACUAGUAAUUCCCAGUCAAGAUAAACAUAUGGAUCAUAUUUCCCAUCAAAAGGAGGCAUGACAAAUUUAAUUUUACCUAACGAGUCGUCAUGGCCACGUACCUGAGGACGCUGGUGUCGUCCCAUACCUUGUUGAUUAUUGCGUAGUCGACAAUGAUCACGAUCAUUGUUAUCAUUAACUGCAUUAGGAUCCUCGGAAUCACCAUCAUAGUUGUCAUCUUGGAUGUCGUCGGCUAUCGAGUUGGCGUUGCAAGGACGGGGCUGGUCGACGGCAUCGGUGUAUGAAAGAGGGUGCCUCGGGUCUCCUGGGGGCACUCGACAAGCUCGUUGUAGACCUGUGUUGGUGGCUGGAAGACGCGGAGCGGCAGUGGAGGUAGCACCCAGACGGGCAUCCUGGGCAUCGAGACGUUUCAUAAUAGAUGCAAGCGUUUGAGUGAACGUCUCAUUGCUAUCCUCGAUCGACUUGAGACGCUUAUCAAGUGCGCCCUCAAAUGAUGUGAACCGCUCGAUGUAUGCAUGCACAUCCUCCUCAAGGCGUGCCACCGUGGCUUUCAUGUUGUCUUUGUCACCUGCCAUGGUUAGCAUGAAACAAGAACAAAAUCACAAGUAUAUUGCUCCUACAGUAACUACGGUGAGGCGGUGGAAAAUGUCUCUUAACUCUCGAGCAAUUACCAAGCUCUUACCAGUUCUUACCGUGUUGCAAUGGUUGUCGGCCAUUGGCGAUGUCAAAAGUUAUCAAAAGAUUGAUAUAGCGAUUACCAAGUGACCAAACUGGGUACAAUAUAGGAUGUGGAGCUUGGUGAAGGUUUUCUCAACUCACAAUAUGUGGCACAAUUAAGCAAAAAGUAAUGCAAGUUGAAUAAUUGUUCAAACUCCUAACUAGUUCUGGCAGUCGACUAGUAAGAGAUAAAACAAUCUAAGCCUAGAUACUGAAUCAAGUGAAGGGAAAUCGAUGAAAAUAAUAGCUCUAAGUAGCUAGAUAUAAGUGAGGUAUAAACGCCGUGUAUAAUAAAGCUCGAAAGCAGAUGAUAAAUGACUCGGCGAUGAACACUGUAGCAGCAAAAUAAUGUCCGGAAAAGAAAAAAUCAGCCUAAAACAGAUGCUAGCCGGCCUGAUUUUUUUUGCAACUUUUCUUUUAAAUUUUUUUCUUUUUUUUUGCUCUUUUUUUGCCGGUUGCUAGCAGAAUCACGGACAGACUUCAAGUCACAAGAGAUAAAUAAGAUGCAAGGCUACUGGACAAGGUGCAACGAGAGCUAGCUACAAGCACUUGAGUGUGGAGAUUAGCGUGGACUAGUACUAAUACACAGGUAGCCGGCGGAGAUUUUUGGGUGGCGCGUGGAGGCAGACAAAGAAAGUUGGAUGUCUAGUGGGUGGGAAUAGCUGCGCGGAGGGGCAGACACUGGGUGGCUGAUGUCUGGAAGGAUGCGCGAGACGAGGCUGCACGUACGCACGCGGAGGUUGACUAGUCUGGAAUAAGCUCAUGGAACAACACAUGUACGCGUAUAAAACAAUCCAACUUGCUUUUUGUUUUCAGAUUACGAACGAACUUGCGACAGAAAAUAUGAUGGACAAAAACAAGUGCGAUCUAGUAGACAAUUUUCUCUUGAACAAAUCUAAACCAGCACUAAUUCUAGGAUGUAUGCAACCAAAAAUUCAACUACACAAAUACUAGAUGCAAAAAUUGCUAAAAAGGCUAAAAAGAUAGGUGUAAUGGAUGAACUAAUCUAAUUUUUUUUUGGCUUUUUCGUGGGUUUAUAGGACAGAAAAUAAACUAAACUACGAAAACUAUAAAUCUCUCACCGAUAAACCUGAAAACUGAUACCACUUGAUGUGACGGCGGCCCGAUCUUUCGAUGAGAGUGGGGAUAAAUAUCGAUUUGGUGGAUUUUGACCUUGACGAUCCGGCUAUACCGUACCCGACGAUAUGCCUCGACAAUCGCUAAACCAAUCUCCGAUGGUUAUUGACCUUGCUGUAGGCACGAUCAACCUGAACAACGGGGUUUGAGUUCCUGCAAGCAACCGAAGAACCAGCAAGAACAAAGGUGAAUUGCAACUGAAAUUGUGGAUAAAAAAACUAAGCACAAGAACUAGAUGAAAAGUUGGGGUUCCACUGUGGAUCUGACAAGGCGGUAGUCUUACAUGUCUCGUAGAUGCGAAUUGUAGCGAUGGCUAGACAAUACAAUAAAACCCGAGUCUAAACCUAGAUAAACGCUAACUAUUUAUUAAGUCCGUACGUCCGCCGCAUAGGAGCUGCACGUUAACGUGUCCAGCACUCCUACGAUUUGAAGGAAAUAAUCUCAUCAGGCCGGCCCACAUGUAGAUAGAAUAUUGUAUGGUUUCCUUCUUUAUUUGAUGAGGUGGGCUUGUGUGUACUAUCUUCGUCCUGGUUUAUAGGUCCCCUUUGUUGUUUGUGCCAAAUUUUGACUAAAGAUUUAACUAACAAAAUGUUAAUGCAUGUCCAAUAAAAUUAUCUCAUUGGAUUCAUAUUUGAACAUAGUUUUUCAAAAUAUAAUGUUUGGUGACAUGCCUGAACAUUUUGUUAGUUUAAUCUAUGGUCAAACUUUGACACGAAAUACAAUGGAGACUAAUAAACCCGGACAGAGGUAGUACGUGGCUUCCUCCUUCUCUCCUUUUGCAUGUACGUAGCAUGGAUCAUGGAUGGUCCGAUUGGUUCUUGCAUGCAAUAGUGCUCCUGCUGGUGUAGUCAACAUGCAACAUUUUCCAUCUCCUGGCUUCAUAUUACUUUCUCUCGUCAGAUCUUCAACACCUUCAUUUCUGAGUACAAGUAAAUCGGAACAUGAGUGUAAUAUCAUAUUCUCGUCAGUUAAAUUAUGUGUACAAAGGAGCGAUAAUACCUGGCCAUUAAUUUGUCUCGCUCGUUCUCUAGUAAUAGGACCAAGUGGAAUAACUGAUGUAGGAGUCACAGCGGGCGUAACAGUAGAAGUGAUGUCCUCAUCACCAGGUGCCUCAACCAAUCCACCCAGAUGUAUAUGAAAGUUGCCACCUUAAUAUUAUCCAUGAUUAAAUAAGUCUCAAACUUCCAUGUGUGAAUCACUAUCCAAUCCCCGUCUACGAGCAUGGCUAAGCAAUAAUAAGCAUAACGUAUAUUCCCGGGGUGUUCAAAAGGUAUUAGGUUCCUACCUCAAGCACUACAACCAAAACCACAUUUUCCCAAUCCUACUCAUGCAAAUAUUUGCGGGGCAGAACUAAUGCAUAGUAAAAACUGGGUAUAAAAGAGUAUGAUCAAAGUAUAACUUGCCUUGCUGACGAUCUGCAAACUCUAGAAGUUCGUAGUAACAAGCUUCACACUCCGGGUAAUCUGGCGUAGACAAACAUUAGCAUACAUAAGCAAUCACUCAAACGAAACAUCGAGAAAACUCAGAAAAGUUCCAAAUCAAACACGAACCAAACAAACAGCUUAAACUAACAAAAGUCAAACCAAACAGAAAUAUUAUCAUGUGAAUUAGAUCUUAACAUUAGGUUCAUGUGAAUAGCUACGAUUUGCAAAAAGAUUCUACUCAAACGAAGCAAAGAAACUCAAAAUACGAACGAAACAAGAUUGUUUACUAAUCUGGACAAACCCAAAUUUUACUGUACCAAAAUCAUGUUCAAGUUGGUUAACGGUAAAGAACAGAACAAUAUGAAGAUUUAGGCGUUGGUUUCAACUAAUCUGUAUAAACAAGUAAAACAUUAUGCUAGUUUAAAGAUCAGGGGCUAAGUCGCGAUAAAAUUAUUCACGGAUAGGUCCCUAGCCGAAAAUUAAACUAAAAAGAAAAAACUAAGGCGCGAAUGUUCGCUAACAUAACAAAUCUAACGAAUAUUGUUCGUUAAAAUGAACGAACGAAAGAACGUUCGUUAAAUAAAUAAAACCGAAACUAAACCGAUCUAAACCAGAUCGAAGAAAACCAAAACAAAACCGAGAUCAAACCGAGCGGUUUUAUACCGUUAGCCGAGUCGGUUCAACGGCGAAACCUGGCGACGGUGGCGGCGCGGGGCGUGCGGGGCAGCAGCUACGCGGCGACGGCGGGCGUCGGCGGCAGCGGCAGCAGCAGCAGGCGGCGGCGCGACUCGGCAGCGGCGACGCUGGUGGCGGGGCUAUGGUGCGGCGGCGGCGAGACGAGGAGGAGGCGGCGGCCUCGAGGCGGCUUUUAUAGCCCCCCCUCCCCCCGAGUUCUCCGACUUGGACAGGGGGUCGGCGAGGCAGCGGCGAGUUAGACUCCUCUGGGAGUCCGACGACUCCAUGGCGGGCGACGUGGGCGAGGCGGUGUCGCAGCGGGGCUUGGCCCGGCUAGGCUCGGGCCGGCCCAGAACUUUAUUGUAAAUAAUUUCGUCGCGAGGAAAAAUCUUAAAUAAAUAUAACAAAAAUUCUAAAAAUUCCAGAAACAAUUUUCACCGUCCAAACCAAAAAAUUAGGACAAGAUGAACAUUUUUCUGGACUAAGAUGCAAUUUCCAAAAAUGCAAUAUUUUUCUAAUUCAAAUAAAAUAGCAAAUAAAAUAACAAUAAAAUUAUAAUUUGAUUUUAAAAUUCUUUCGCCAAUAUUUCUCUUAGGUUGAAGAAGUCAUAUUAUCUUCUCUCUUAUAUUUUUAAUAUCGGAAAUAAUUGGAGAGAAAAAUAAUAAAAAUCAAAUUGAUCCUUUCUUCAAAUUUGAAUUAAAUUCAAAUAUGAUUUUUGUCAAACCUCCAACUCUCUCCUUGGGUCCUUGAGUUGCUUAAGAUUUCUAGGAUCACAACAAAAUGCAAAAAUAAAUAUGAUAUGCAUAUAAUGAUCUAUGUAUAACAUCCAAAUUGAAAAUUAGGAUGUUACAAUCUCGUCGCGUUCAGCCACAAACGCCAUGCACGUGCUGCCAAACGCCUCUAUCCUCCAUUAGAGCUAUGCUCAAGCUCACUUGUGAUGCUCUAGAACCCUUCCCUCUGCUAUUUAUGGCGUGCUCGACUCCUCCCGCACCUCACUCACUCCUACCCCGCCUCCCUAGUCCAUCGGAGUGGCCUCGCUUGGCCUCUAUCCACCACCGUCAGCCAUGGCCACCUUGGUCUCUUCUUGAUUUCGGCGAGCCUAGCCCUCCUCUCCACCUCCCGACCAAUCCAGCGUGUUCCUCUCCCCCCGACGGUCCUCCCUACCCACUCGUUCAUUGCUGGAGUCCCCCUGAUCGCAAGCUCCAAGUAUGGCCGCCGCCUCCUCCUCUCGGUCGCCCUUUCAUUCGAGCGAGUCGAGCCCCUCCAGCCUUCCCCGACCUCACUGAUACAUCUCCGUCGUAUCUAUAAUUUUUGAUUAUUCCAUGCCAAUAUUAUUCAACUUUCAUAUACGUUUGGCAACUUUUUAUACUAUUUUUUGGGAUUAACAUAUUGAUCCAGUGCCUAGUGUCACUUCCUAUCUGUUGCAUGUUUUAUGUUUCGCAGAAACCCAAUAUCAAACGGAGUCCAAACGGGAUAAAAACGGAUGGAGAAUUAUUUUGGAAUAUUUUGAUUUUUGGGAGGAAGAAUCAAUGCGAGACGGUGCCCGAGGUGGCCACGAGGGUGGCCCACGCCACCACUUUAAGUGGGCGCGCCCCUGACCCUCGUGGGCCCCUCGUAAGGCGGUUGGUGCCCUUCUUUGGCCGCAAGAAAGCUAAUUUUGGAAAAAUAUCUAGGUGAAGGUUUCAAUCCAAUAGGAGUUACGGAUCUUCGUAUAUAAAAGAAACGGUGCCAGGGCAGAAUCUGAGAACGCGGAAACAGAGAGAGACAGAGAGAGAGAUCCAAUCUCGGAGGGGCUCUCGCCCCUCCCAAGCCAUGGGAGCCAAGGACCAGAGGGGAAACCGUUCUCCCAUCUAGGGAGAAGGUCAAGGAAGAGGAAGAAGAAGGGGGUGCUCUCUCCCCCUUGCUUCCGGUGGCGUCAGAACGCCACCGGGGCCAUCAUCAUCACCGCGAUCUUCACCAACAACUUCACCACCUUCAUCACCAACUCUUCCCCCCUCUAUGCAGCGGUGUAACCCCUCUCUUACCCGCUGUAAUAUCUACUUAAACAUGGUGCUGCACGCUAUAUUUUAUUUCCCAAUGAUGUAUGGCUAUCAUAUGAUGUUUGAGUAGAUCUGUUUUGUCCUAUGGGUUAAUUGAUGGUCAUGAUUGGUUUGAGUUGCAUGUUUUAUUAUUGGUGAUGUCCUAUGGUGCUCUUCGUGUCGCGCAAGCAUGAGGGAUCCUCGCUGUAGGGUUUGCAAUAUGUUCAUGAUUUGCUGAUGGUGGGUGGCGUGAGUGACAGGAGCACAGACCCGAGUAAGUAGGUUGUUUGCGUAUGGGAUAAACAGGACUUGAUCCUUUAAUGCUAUGGUUGGAUUUACCUUAAUGAUCUUUAGUAGUUGCGGAUGCUUGCUAGAGUUCCAAUCAUAAGUGCAUAUGAUCCAAGAAGAGAAAGUAUGUUAGCUUAUGCCUCUCCCUCAAAUAAAAUUGCAAUAGUGACUACCGGUCUAGUUAUCGAUUGCCUAGGGACAAAUAACUUUCUCAUGACAAAAAGCUCUCUACUAAUACUUACUUUAUUGCUUCUUUAUCUAAAAAGCCCCUACUUUUUAUUUACGUGUUCUUUAUUACCUUGCAAACCUAUCCAACAACACCUACAAAGUACUUCUAGUUUCAUACUUGUGCUAGGUAAAGCAAACACUAAGCGUGCGUAGAGUCGUAUCAGUGGCAGAUAGGACUUGAGAGAAUAUUUGUUCUACCUUUAGCUCCUCGUUGGGUUCGACACUCUUACUUAUCGAAAGAGGCUACAAUUAUCCCCUAUACUUGUGGGUUAUCAAGACCUUUUUCUGGCGCCGUUGCCGGGGAGUCAUAGCAUGGGGUGAAUAUUCUCGUGUGUUCUUGUUUGCUUUAUCACUAAGUGAUUUUUAUUUGCUGUUCUAAGUUGUUCUCUAUCUUUAGCUAUGGAUAUGGAACACGAAAUACCAAAAAAAAUAGGUGUACUUGCUACUCAUGGAGAUGGGGAACCUCCUGAAACCCUUGAUGCUCAUUAUGUGAAAGAUAUUAUGUACUACUUUGAUAAUCCUGAGAAAACCCCAUUCAAUUAUGUUAUGGGAGACACGUUGGAUCAACGUGAAUACUUUAGGGAUUAUCUCUUGACACAAAAAGGGAAACUAUUAUGGGAUCAAAUUUAUAUGUUGCGUUGAUAUGCUUGGGAUCUAUGCUUGAGACAUGAUUAUAUUUGUUGCUCUAGGAUAAAGUCUCCACACCUUCCCUUUUCAUGCAAAUUCAAUGAUAAUAAAACCUUGGCUUCUUAUGCUAAUGGUAUCUAUGAUUACUAUGAUGUGGAACAAAUAGAAUAAUUUGUUGCUUUUAUGGGUGCUUAUGAGAUUGAAUCUAUGUUUAAAACAUUUGAAGAUUUUGAUUAUUUAGUUUAUAGACCUGAAAAUUUUACUAUACAUAAAUAUUGCUAUGAGAAUUAUGAAUUCAAUUCCGAAAUUGAUGCAUUUAUUGAGAAAGUCUCUGCUGUCCAAGAAGAAACUAAUAUUUUGCAGGAGUCUAUGGAAGAAGAAAUUGAUGAAACUGUGAGCUCACUGGAUGAAAAACAUGAUGAGGAGAGCGAAGAACAAAAGGAGGAAGAGCGGGUUAGCUACCCGUGCCCACCUUCUAAUGAGAAUAACUCUUCAACUCAUACAUUGUUUAAUUCCCCUUCGUGCUUACCGAAGGAUGAUUGCUAUGAUGAUUGUUAUGAUCCCAUUGAUUCUCUUGAAAUAUCCCUUUUUGAUGAUGCUUGUGGCCAAGAUGCCAACAUGAAUUAUGCUUAUGGAGAUGAACUUGCUAUAGUUCAUUAUGUUAAACAUGAAAUUGUUGCUAUUGCACCAACGCAUGAUAGUCCUAUUAUCUUUUUGAAUUCUCCCUACUACACUAUAUCGGAGAAGUUUGCCCUUAUUAAGGAUUAUAUUGAUGGGUUGCGUUUUACUACUACACAUGAUGAUUUUGAUGAAUAUAAUAUGCAUGUGCUUGCUGCUCCUACUUGCAAUUAUAUGAGAGAGGAACUAUAUCUCCACCUCUCUAUGUUUCCAAUAUGAUAAAAUUGCAAGAAACUGCUUAUACUAUGCAUUGGCAUUUAAUUUGUGUGCAUGAAUUGUUCUUUUAUGACAUGCCGAUGCAUAGGAAGAGAGUUAGACUUUGUUGUUUCAUGAUAUAUAUUAGUUUUUGCUCACUACUAAAUUACAAAUCAUUGUUAAUUAAAAUUGGCUUUGAUAUACCUUGGGAUUCGGGUGGAUCCAUUACUUGAGCACUAUAUGCCUAGCUUAAUGGCUUUAAAGAAAACACUGCCAGGGAGACAACCCGGAAGUUUUAGAGAGUCAUUUAUUUCUGUUGAGUGCUUUUAUAUAGUUUAAAAACAAAAAAAUUAAGAGGGGAACCCAAAACUUUUCAAAAAGGAAAGUGAAAGUGAGAGAGACAAGCAUUGUUGAAGUGGGAGAGCUCCUUGAACUUUGUUCAUGCUCACGGAAACUUUGUGAAUCUUAAUUACAGAAAAAUUUCAUCAAAAAUAACUAUCCCCUUGUAUAAUUACAUUGUAUUCUAAAAAUAAUGUGCUAAGGUUUGCCUUUAGGAUGUUUACAAUGCUUGUUGGUUUGUAUGGUGCAGGACAGAAACUUUGGCUGUAGUGCGCGAUUUUACAUUUUUUGCUGGAAUGUCAAAUCAUUCUGAUUCUUUUUGCACUGUCUUGCUGUACAAAGUUUUUAUUUUUCCUAAUUGUGGUAGAAUUUUUGGGGUACCAUAAGUAUGGUGAAUGUGCAGAUUGCUACAGACUGUUCUGUUUUUGACAGAUUCUGUUUUUGAUGCAUAGUUUACUUGUUUUGAUGAAUCUAUCAAUUUAUAUCAGUGGAUUAAGCCAUGGAAAAGUUAUAUUACAGUAUACACAAUGCAAAAACAAAAUAUGAAUUGGUUUGCAACAGUACUUAGAGUAGUGAUUUGCUUUAUUAUACUAACGGAUCUUACCGAGUUUUCUGUUGAAGUUUUGUGUGGAUGAAGUGUUUGAUCGAGAAGGUCUCAAUAUGAAGAAAAGGAGGAGGGGCAAGAGCUCAAGCUUGGGGAUGUCCAAGGAACCCCAAGUAAAUAUUCAAGGAGACUCAAGCAUCUAAGCUUGGGGAUGCCCCGGAAGGCAUCCCCUCUUUCUUCAACAAGUAUCGGUAUGUUUUCGGAUUCGUUUCGUUCAUGCGAUAUGUGCAAGUCUUGGAGCGUCUUUUGCAUUUAGUUUUCACCUUUAUUUUAUGUGCCAUGCUGGUAUGAGAUAGUCCUUGGUUGAUUUAUAGAAUUCUCAUUGCACUUCACUUAAAUCUUUUGAGUAUGGCUUUAUAGAAUGCUUCAUGUGCUUCACUUAUAUCAUUUGAAGUUUGGAUUGCCUGUUUCUCUUAACAUAGAAAACCGCCAUUUGUAAAAUGAUCUUUUGCUUCACUUAUAUUUGUUAGAGCGUGGGCAUAUCUUUUGUAGAAAGAAUUAAACUCUCUUGCUUCACUUAUAUCAAUUUAGAGAGAUGGCAGGAAUUGGUCAUUCACAUGGUUAGUCAUAAAAUCCUACAUAAACUUGUAGAUCGCUGAAUAUGAUAUGUUUGAUUCCUUGCAAUAGUUUUGCGAUAUAAAGGUGGUGAUAUUAGAGUCAUGCUAGUGGGUGAUUGUGGAUUAGUAGAAAUACUUGUGUUGAGGUUUCUGAUUCCUGAAGCAUGCACGUAUGGUGAACCGCUUUGUGAUGAAGUUGGAGCAUAAUUUUAUUUAUUGAUUGUCUUCCUUAUGAGUGGCGGUCGGGGACGAGCGAUGGUAUUUUCCUACUAAUCUAUCCCCCUAGGAGCAUGCACGUAGUACUCUGUUUUCAAUGGCUCGUAGAUUUUUGCAAUAAGUAUAUGAGUUCUUUAUGACUAAUGUUGAGUCCAUGGAUUAUACGCACUCUCACCCUUCCACCAUUGCUAGCCUCUCUUGUGCCGCACAACUUUCACCGGUACCAUACACCCACCAUAUUGUUGGGGAACGUAGUAAUUUCAAAAAAAUUCCUACGCACACGCAAGAUCAUGGUGAUGGCAUAGCAACGAGAGGGGAGAGUGUUGUCUACGUACCCUCAUAGACCGAAGCGGAAGCGUUGACGCAACGUAGAGGAAGUAGUCGUACGUCUUCCCGGUCCAACCGAUCCAAGCACCGUUACUCCGGCACCUCCGAGUUCUUGACACACGUACAGCUCGAUGACGCACCCCGGGCUCCGAUCCAGCAGAGCUUCAAGGAGGAGUUCCGUCAGCACGACGGCAUGGUGACGAUCUUGAUGUUCAACCGUCGCAGGGCUUCGCCUAAGCACCGCUACAAUAUGACCGAGGUGUAAUAUCGUGGAGGGGGGCACCGCACAUGGCUAAGGAACGAUCACGAAGAUCAACUUGUGUGUCUAUGGGGUGCCCCCCACCCCCGUAUAUAAAGGAGCCAAGGGGAGGGGGCGGCCGGCCAAGGAGGGGCGCGCCAAGGGGGAGUCCUACUCCCACCGGGAGUAGGACUCCCUUUCUUUCCUAGUUGGAGAAGGAGAAGGAGGGAAACAGGAGGAAUAGGGGAAGGAAAGGGGGGGCGCCGCCCCCCUUCCCUUGUCCUAUUCGGACUAGGAAGGGGAGGGGCGUGCGGCCCCCUCCUGCCUCCUUCUCUCUUCUCCCUCAAGGCACAUGUAGGCCCAAUAACCCCCCGGGGGGUUCCGGUAACCCCCCGGUACUCCGGUAAAAUGGUGAUUUCACCCGGAACGAUUCCGAUGUCCAAAUAUAGGCUUCCAAUAUAUCGAUCUUUAUGUAUCGACCAUUUCGAGACUCCUCGUCAUGUCCGUGAUCACAUCUGGGACUCCGAACAACCUUCGGUACAUCAAAAUACAUAAACUCAUAAAGAAACUGUCAUCAUAACUUUAAGCAUGCGGACCCUACGGUUCGAGAACAAUGCAGACAUGACCGAGACACAUCUCCGGUCAAUAACCAAUAGUGGGACCUGGAUGCCCAUAUUGGUUCCUACAUAUUCUACGAAGAUCUUUAUCGGUCAGACCGCAUAACAACAUACGUUGUUCCCUUUGUCAUCGUUAUGUUACUUGCCCGAGAUUCGAUCGUCGGUAUCCAAUACCUAGUUCAAUCUCAUUAUCGGCAAGUCUAUUUACUCGUUCCGUAAUACAUCAUCUCGCAACUAACUCAUUAGUUGCAAUGCUUGCAAGGCUUAAGUGAUGUGUAUUACCGAGAGGGCCCAGAGAUACCUCUCCGACAUUCGGAGUGACAAAUCCUAAUCUCGAAAUACGCCAACCCAACAAGUACCUUUGGAGACACCUGUAAAGCACCUUUAUAAUCACCCAGUUACGUUGUGACGUUUGGUAGCACACAAAGUGUUCCUCCAGUAAACGGGAGUUGCAUAAUCUCAUAGUCAUAGGAACAUGUAUAAGUCAUGAAGAAAGCAAUAGCAACAUACUAAACGAUCGGGUGCUAAGCUAACGGAAUGGGUCAUGUCAAUCAGAUCAUUCAACUAAUGAUGUGAUCCCGUUAAUCAAAUAACAACUCUUUGUUCAUGGUUAGGAAACAUAACCAUCUUUGAUUAACAAGCUAGUCAAGUAGAGGCAUACUAGUGACACUCUGUUUGUCUAUAUAUUCACACAUGUAUUAUGUUUCCGGUUAAUACAAUUCUAGCAUGAAUAAUAAACAUUUAUCAUGAUAUAAGGAAAUAAAUAAUAACUUUAUUAUUGCCUCUAGGGCAUAUUUCCUUCACAUAUACCUUCCUCAAAACAGCCACCAUACCUACCUAUCAUGGCAUUUCCAUAGCCAUUCCGAGAUAUAUUGCCAUGCAACUUCCAUCAUCAUCAUAUACAUGACUUGAGAAUUCAUUGUCAUAUUUCCUUGCAUGAUCAUAAGAUAGCUAGCAUGAUGUCUUCAUGGCUUGUCUGUUUUUUUUAAUGUCAUGGCUACGCUAGAUCAUUGCACAUCCCGGUACCGCCGGAGGCAUUCAUAUAGAGUCAUAUCUUUGUUCUAGGUAUCGAGUUGUAAGUAAAUAAAAGUGUGAUGAUCAUCAUUAUUAGAGCAUUGCCCCAGUGAGGAAAGGAUGAUGGAGACUAUGAUUCCCCCACAAGUCGGGAUGAGUCUCUGGACUUUAUGAAAAAUAAAAGAGGCCAAAGAAGCCCAAAAAAAGAGGCCAAAGAAGCCCACCAAAAAAUAAUAAAAAAGGGAAAUAAAAAAUGAGAGAAAAAGAGAGAAGGGGCAAUGUUACUAUCCUUUUACCACACUUGUGCUUUAGAGUAGCACCAUGUUCUUCAUAGAGAGAGCCUCCUAUGCUUUCACUUUCAUAUACUAGUGGGAAUUUUCAUUAUAGAACUUGGCUUGUAUAUUCCAAUGAUGGGCUUUCUCAAAUGCCCGAGGUCUUCAUGAGCAAGCAAGUUGGAUGCACACCCACUUAGUUUUCAGUUUGAGCUUCCAUACACUUAUAGCUCUUAGUGCAUCCGUUGCAUGGCAAUCCCUACUCACCCACAUUGAUAUCUAUUGAUGGGCAUCUCCAUAGCCCAUUGAUACGCCUAGUUGAUGUGAGACUAUCUUCUCCUUUUUUGUCUUCUCCACAACCACCAUUCUAUUCCACAUAUAGUUCUAUGUCCAUGGCUCACUCUCAUGUAUUGCGUGAAAGUUGAAAAAGUUUGAGCUUACUAAAGUAUGAAACAAUUGCUUGGCUUGUCAUCGGGCUUGUGCAUGAUUACUUUGUGUGAUGAAGAUAGAGCAACAGCCAGACUAUAUGAUUUUGUAGGGAUAACUUUCUUUGGCCAUGUUGUUUUGAAAAGACAUGAUUGCUUUAUUAGUACGCUCGAAGUAUUAUCGUUUUUAUGUCAAAUGAUAGACUAUUGCUUUGAAUCACUCGUGUCUUAAUGUUCAUGCCAUGAUUAGAUAUAUGAUCAAUAUUAUGCUAGGUAGCAUUCCACAUCAAAAAUUAUCUUUCUUAUCAUUUACCUACUAAAGGACGAGCAGGAAUUAAGCUUGGGGAUGCUAAUACGUCUCCGCGUCUCUAUAAUUUUUGAUUACUCCAUGCCAAUAUUAUUCAACUUUCAUAUACUUUUGGCAACUUUUUAUACUAUUUUUUGGGACUAACAUAUUGAUCCAGUGCCCAGUGCCAGUUCCUAUUUGUUGCAUGUUUUAUGUUUCGCAGAAACCCAAUAUCAAACGGAGUCCAUACGGGAUCAAAACGGACGGAGAAUUAUUUUGGAAUAUUUGUGAUUUUUGGGAGGAAGAAUCAACGCAAGAUGGUGCUCGAGGUGGCCACGAGGGUGGCCCACGCCACCACUUUAAGUGGGCGCGCCCCUGACCCUCAUGGGCCCCUCGUAAGGCGGUUGAUGCCCUUCUUUGGCUGCAAGAAAGCUAAUUUUUGGAAAAAUAUCUGGGCGAAGGUUUCAAUCCAAUCGGAGUUACGGAUCUCCGGAUAUAAAAGAAACGGUGCCAGGGCAGAAUCUGAGAACGCAGGAACAGAGAGAGACAGAGAGAUAGAUCCAAUCUUGGAGGGGCUCUCGCCCCUCCCAAGCCAUGGGAGCCAAGGACCAGAGGGGAAACCGUUCUUCCAUCUAGGGAGAAGGUCAAGGAAGAGGAAGAAGAAGGGGGGCUCUCUCCCCCUUGCUUCCGGUGGCGCCGGAACGCCGCCGGGGCCAUCAUCAUCACCACGAUCUUCACCAACAAAUUCACCGCCUUCAUCACCAACUCUUCCCUCCUCUAUGCAGCGGUGUAACCCCUCUCUUGCCAGCUGUAAUCUCUACUUAAAUAUGGUGCUCGGUGCUAUAUAUUAUUUCCCAAUGAUGUAUGGCUAUCCUAUGAUGUUUGAGUAGAUCUGUUUUGUCCUAUGGGUUAAUUGAUGGUCGUGAUUGGUUUGAGUUGCAUGUUUUAUUAUUGGUUCUGUCCUAUGGUGCUCUCCAUGUCACGCAAGCAUGAAGGAUCCCCGCUGUAGGGUUUGCAAUAUGUUCAUGAUUUGCUGAUGGUGGGUGGCGUGAGUGACAGAAGCACAGACCCGAGUAAGUAGGUUGUUUGCGUAUGCGAUAAACAGGACUUGAUACUUUAAUGCUAUGGUUGGGUUUUACCUUAAUGAUCUUUAGUAGUUGCGGAUGCUUGCUAGAGUUCCAAUCAUAAGUGCAUAUGAUCCAAGAAGAGAAAGUAUGUUAGCUUAUGCCUCUCCCUCAAAUAAAAUUGCAAUAGUGAUUACCGGUCUAGUUAUCGAUUGCCUAGGGACAAAUAACUAUCUCGUGACAAAAAGUUCUCUACUAAUACUUACUUUAUUGCUUCUUUAUCUAAACAGCCCCUACUUUUUAUUUACGUGUUCUUUAUUAUCUUGCAAACCUAUCCAACAACACCUACAAAGUACUUCUAGUUUCAUACUUGUUCUAGGUAAAGCGAACACUAAGCGUGCGUAGAGUCGUAUCAGUGGCAGAUAGGACUUGAGAGAAUAUUUGUUCUACAUUUAGCUCCUCAUUGGGUUCGACACUCUUACUUAUCGAAAGAGGCUACAAUUAUCCCCUAUACUUGUGCGUUAUCACUCACCACCGUCCUCCCCCUCUCCCAUCGCCAGAGCUGUCCGCACCACCCAGCAUCACCACCAUCGCCCGCUCAUGUCCUCCUCCUGGCACCGCCCCUCUGCCAUCCCGCGCCUCCCCAGCACGUCCCUCCGCCGGGAAUGAGCGCUGCUCGGCCCUACCAUCCCGCUGGUGCCCUCAACCGGGCGGGAGAUGGCUGGAGCAGCCCACACCAUCGCCGGCUUUGCCCUGCUCCUGCUCCUCUAUUCCCGAUCGGGACAGAGGGAGGAGGAAGACCACGCCUUGCCCAGUUGGCUAGGCGGGCCCCUCCUCCCCAGCGGACCCCACCCGUAAGUGAGCCACCAUCUUAUCCACUCGGAUAAGUGGAGGCGCAUUUUUCGAAAUGUGUUUUCAUUUUUUGAAAGCGUAUUUCCCUCCUUUAUCUAAAAUGCACUUUCUCGGUUAUGAAAGCGUAUUCUCUUCUAACUGCAGCCUAAAAUACGCUUUAUCUUUCAGAAAAUCUAUUCUUUCCGAAGGCGUUUUCUGUUUUUCAGCCCAAGGACCUGUUUGCGGGGAACUUUUUAUAGAAUGGUCCCUGGUGUUCAACCCCUCAUAUCUCCGCGACCGUAACUCCGAUCGAGGUGAAACCAAUGCCCACGUCUUUGUCUCAUCAAGCUCUUUCUGUUGGUACCAUUUUGACUAGGUGGUCCCAUAGUGAAAAUGACCAUUUUUCCCUUGCUUCUAAUCAGCCCCCUUCAAGAGAGAAGAACGUCUAACAUUGCGUUUCACGGCUUCACCGCACUUCUCCCCGGAGUCCCCGUCACCCCCAGGCAAGCCACAACAGCCACUUGCAUGAUAGCCAUGUAGUAGCCAUGGUUUAUACUUGAAUAUUUAAUAAAUGUUUGCCCGUUAACUGCUUGCUUGUUUGCUACUACUGUCGUUGUUUCGAUUUGCUCAUGGAUUCAUGUUCACCUUCAUGCUAUGUUCCGGUGCAUCUUGGUACCUUGUACUACUUGCUAGUAUCAUUUUCACAUGUCAUGCUUGGUAGUAGUAGUACAUGCUGGUAGUAGUGAUGUUCGUUCUGGUGCAUGCAUGUAGUUUGCUAUCCAGUACCAUUGCGGUGCAUGUUCCUUCGCACGUAGUUGUCACAUGUUUACUUGGCAGUAUCCUUGUUAUGUUCUUGCAUGGUAUUUAUGAUGCUAGUGGUCAUGCUAUACUCAUGUGUAGUGUUAUGCUUAUGAAAUGCUCAUUUGGUUAUAUGCUUCAUUGUGGUUAUGCUCAAUGGUCAUGUUGCACCUCCAUGCUUAUGUUGAUAUCAUGUUCAUGCAUUGUAGUUACAUCAUGUUAUUUUAAUAUGACUCAGCUUAUUGCAUUCAAGUUUAACCGGAUAAUAAUGAACUUGAACAACUGUUGGCUGAGUCAUGGUGCCACCAAAUCAAGCUGACCAGUGUAGCCACAUUUGGCUUUAUGGGAAGGCCCUAAUGCGGUUUAAUGGCAUGCCUGUUGUCGGUGCCUCCAACGAGGGAAGGUUAUGGGUGCGCGCUACCCUGAUCAGGUAGGCGGACAUAAACCUUGUGAGCCCGAGUUUGGUUAUGUGCACAUGUCCCCGUUUGGGACCGUUUAUUGUUUUGCCACGACGGUGGCCAUUGGAUGUCAUUGGUUGACAUCAGGGCCACCCAGGACUUAGCCCAGAGGGGAGUUGGUCAGAGUGGCUGGGAGAGUGUGAUGGCAAUGGAUCAGUUUUGUCGGAAUGCAGUUGGUCCACCCGAAUGGGAGUGCGAGACCAUUGAUUCCAUGGUGUGGGUACAGUGUACUAACCUAUGUAGAGUGUGUGUUAAAUCUAUCGAUAGCCGCGCCCGUGGAUAUGGGCCCAGUUCAUAGUCGGUCAUACUAUGAGCCAACUAUAAUAAUAACUUCAUUAAUAAUAAUAACCCCGGUUCGAUGAUGAGAAAGAGGUUGGUUGUGAUCAAGAGAGGAUCACGGAGGUAUCGUGGAUACCAAAGUUGGUUGAUCUUUAUGUGAUCGCAAGAUGAUCACGGAGGUAUCGUGGAUACCAAAGUUGGUUGAUUGUUAUGUGAUCGUGAGAGGAUCACAUUGGUAUCAUGGAUACCAUGGUUGGUAAGUUGAUGCUUGAGAUGGUUACUAGGUAACCGCUGAGCAAGAGUAAGUUGGUGCAUGAAAAUGUUAACCUGUUGCAUGUAGUGUCAUCAUGUUUAUAUGCUCAUGCUAUGCUUGUUAUAGCCGUAUCAUGUUCAGUUUGUGCAUGCCAUGUUGUUCUAUUAGUAUCAUGCUCAUGAUUGAUUUAACCUGCUAAUGACAUGUUCUUGUUUGUCUUGACUGCUUUUGGUUAUUGUAGAAUUGCAAGUACAUUCAAUGUAUUGACCUGGCGUGUCAUGCCAGUUUGCAGGUCGUGCCUGGAUUGCUUACGUGUUUGGUCUGGUUCCUGUGUUCGCGAGCUAGGAUAAACAUUCCAGCCAGAGUCCCUGCGGAUUGGAGUCCAUCAUUGUCGUUCGUUGUUCCGCUGCCUCGAGUUGUUAUGCUGCUUGCAUAGAGGAAAUGGUGUUGGUAUAGCGUCGCCGUGCCGAUGUUAUUCAUUGUAAUAUCGGAGACCUUGUAUUCAUAUUCGUGUUGUAAUAGAGAGCUGGUUUGUUCUAUGCUAAGUAGUGAUGUAUUCCAGAAGACUUCACCUCGAUCAUUGGCUAGAAUACGGGGCGUUCCAGUUUCUCUGGGACGGGGUGUCACAGGGCUUGGUAUCAGAGCAGGUCUGGCUGUACAGCGCCCUAGUCCGCUGGAACGUUAGAAAAUAGUAGUAUAGGAUCUAGUUGUUGCCCUUGCUUGCUGCAUUUGGUUGUUGCAUUUGUUUGCUGCAUAUAGUCUUAUUCGGUUACCCCUAACCCCUGUAUCUUGCGUAGAUGGCGCUCAAUUUCCAUGAGUUUAGUGCCAUUCCCAGGGCUCCCAGUGUUGUUCCUAUUGCAUUCAGCCCCACUCCUGCACCUCUCGGCUUUGCCACCAUCCUUGGCGAUAUGUGGCGUAGCAUUUAUCCCCGCAAAGACCCACCUCAUUAUCAAGUAUUCCAGUUUUCUAUCGGAGGAAGAAUUCAAGAGUAUGUUACUCAGGUCCAUCUAUCAGCCCCGAUUCCUAUUGGUAAGCGCAUCUAUAGUUUCCAUAGUCAUUACGGCACUACUCCCGAGCGUGUCGUUUAGCUUGCCGCAAUGGCAGGAAUCACCGGUCUUCGUCAUCAAGAGAGCACGGUGCAAGAGAACCGUGCUUAUCAGUACUAUCCCACAUCAUCGAGAAUCCUAAGCGGAUCAAGUUCCCAUCUGUCAACCCUCAAAAUUACCCGGCUAUCCUCGCCAUGUCCCGUUACAUGAUGGCCGAGUGUCUUCUUAUUUCCGAGUUAGUCCAAGACUCCAUUCGAGCCAGGAGAUUGCUUGGUGCUUCCCUACCUCGGUCUCUGCCAGUUUCUCCAACCCCUCCGCCUCAUCCCUCCAGAGUUUCGAAGUCAACAGCUCCCCUCGCUACUCCCUUAGCUUCUUCAUCAGCCCCCAAGCUUUUGCUCAAGCGUAGGGUGUAGUCCUUUGUGUAGUGCAUGUGCAUCUGCUGUAGUAUUAUGCUUGUGUGUGCCUAUGUGGAGUAGUUUUGUAGCUUGUUUGAUGUCUGCUUUGUUGCAAUAAAUUGUUUUCUCAUGCUUCUUGGUUUGAAUCUUCGGUGUUACCCCCUUAUGGAAAGUGCUCAUCAAUCGCCACCGACAAGAAAAAGCCAUGAGAAGUAAAUAUAUACACCAAGGAACUCAGUAAAAGCAAUGAGAUUUUAAUUUGACAGCAUUAUGUUGCAGACAUCUGGUCUGGAUACAAAUUAUAUCCUGCUCAGACUUUCGGUAACAAGUACCCAUGAGAGAUCCACCUUUAUUACAACAAUGAUUGAUCCAGCAGGAGAACAAAAUUGGAUCCAAGUCCAGCAUACAUUUCAAUUAAAAGGUAUGGUCCAUACACAAUGAUUAAUUUUGUCAUGAGUCUGAUUUGAAACAUGUGACACCCAGAACUCAGUCCAAAUAUGCAACGAAUUCAGCAAGGAUAGUGACACAAUCCUUGUCAUACAAGUUAUCAGCAGUCGUGAUAUGUCUCCAUGUAUCUAUAAUUUUUUAUUGUUCCAUGCUGUUAUAUUAUCAUUCUUGGCUGUUUUACAAUCAUUUUAUAGUCAUUUUAUAUCAUUUUUUGGUAAUAAACUAUUGACAUAGUGCUCAGUGCUAGUUGUUGUUUUCUGCAUGUUUUUUACAUCGCAGGAAAUCAAUACAAAGCGGAGUCCAAACGCAGCGAAACUUUUGUGGAUUUUUUUGGACCAAAAGACAUCCAAUGGGCGAGGAACGCACCUGAGGGGAGCUCCGAGGGGAGCACAACCCACCAGGGUGCGCCUGGGGGCCCAGGCGUGCCCCGGUGGGUUGUGACCUCCUCGUUGGCCUCCCGCACCGCCUCUUUGCUCUAUAAAUACCCCAAUAUUCCAGGAACCCUAGGAGAGUCGACAAAAAUCAAUUCUAGCCGCCGCAGGGUGCAGAAACACCAGAUCCAAUCUAGACACCAUCACGAAGGGGUUCAUCAUGUCCAUUGGUGCCUCUCCAAUGAUGUGUGAGAAGUUCUUUGUGGACCUACGGGUUCGUAGUUACUAGAUAGAUGUCUUCCUCUCUCUCUCUUGAUUAUCAAUACAAUGGUCUCUUGGAGAUCCAUAUGAUGUAAGUCUUUUUGCGGUGUGUUUGUUGGGAUCCGAUGAACUUUGAGUUUAUGAUCAGAUCUAUGUUUUUAUCCAUGAAAGUUAUUUUAGUCUUCUUUGAUCUCUUAUAUGCGUGAUGGUUUAUUGCCUUGUAUUUCUUCUACGAUAUUUGGGUUUUGUUUGGCCAACUUGAUCUAUUUCUCUUGCAAUGGGAAGAGUUGCUUUGUGAUGGGUUCAAUCUUAUGGUGCUAGAUCCCAGUGACAGAAAGGGAAACGACAUGUAUGUAUCAUUGCUAUUAAGGAUAACAAGAUAGGGUGUAUUUCUACAUCAAUAGAUCUUGUCUACAUCAUGUCAUUGUUCUUAUUGCAUUACUCCGUUUUUUCAUGAACUUAAUACACUAGAUGCAUGCUGGAUAGCGGUCGAUGUGUGGAGUAAUAGUAGUAGAUGUAGGCAGGAGUCGGUCUACUAAUCUUGGAUGUGAUGCCUAUAUAAUGAUCAUUGCCUGGAUAUCAUCAUGAUUAUUUGAAGUUCUAUCAAUUGCCCAACAGUAAUUGUUUUCCUACCGUUUGCUAUUUUUCUCGAGAGAAGCCACUAGUGAAACCUACGGCCACCAGGUCUCCUUUCAUUAUAUUUGCCUUUGCGGUCUAUUUUCCUUUGCUUUUACUUUCAGAUCUAUUAAACCAAAAAUACAAAAAUAUCUUGUUGCAAUUUAUUUGUUCCGCGAUCUAUUUAUCCUAUCUACCACUUUUUAUCUCACAUUAUUUGCCUACCUUGAGGCACCGUACCCGAAAGGGAUUGACAACCCCUUUAACACGUCGGGUUGCGAGUAUUUGUUAUUUGUGUGCAGGGGUUGUUUGUGUGGUGUGAAGAGGUUCUCCUAUUGGUUCGAUAACCUUGAUCUCAUCACUGAGGGAAAUACCUACCGUCGCUAUACUGCAUCAUCCCUUCCUCUUUGGGGAAAUACCGAUGUAGUGCUAGCAGACAUCAAAAGGAAUUCCUAGCGCCGUUGCCAGGGAGGAUCUUCAACAUCAACCAGGUUCCUAAUCACAAAUUUCAUCUCCUCGCAAUCUACAUUAUUUGCCAUUUGCCUAUCGUUUUCAUCUCCCCCACUUCACAAAAAUUUGUUGUUUUACUCGCCCUUUUUUUCCGUUUGCCGUUUUCUCAUCAGAUCUAUUCGUGUUCCUGUUUCACUAUGGCUAGCUUGAAUGCACCUCCUUUGUUACCAGACUUUGAAGUUCUAUAUUUCAAACAAAGACAAGGAGAAAAUUUGAAAGAUGUUGUGUAUAGGCUUAUGGAGUCUUACCGUAUUUGCAAUCUAAAGGGAGAUGCAAAAAUUUUCCUUAGAAAUUUUUACGUAGGACUGGCUUUGCAUCAUAGACAAAUCUUGGAUUUUUCCACAAAAGGGAAUUUUAUUGAGCUUGAUUUCAAUGUCGCCUAUGAAAUCUUAGAAGAAAUUUUGGGGGUUCCACCACAAAAGAAAGGGUUUUCUUUCACCCCGGAGGGAAUCCAAAUUUUGGACAAACUCGGUGAUUUGCAUAAACAUAUGGUUGAAUUAUAAAAAUAUAAUGAACCUCUCAAUGGUAGUAUCAAUCAUAUGAAUACUUUGAUUUCCCUUUGCAAUAAACAGUUGGAUAUUUUAGAUCUCAAGAUGGUUUCUUUUCUGGAAAAUUUAGGGAAGUGCAAAGAGCCUCCCGGAUUUGAAAAUACCCUUACUAAAGUGACAAAGAUAAUGGAGAGCAACACUUAGAUCCUACGCGUUUUGCCUAGCUAGGGGCGUAAAACGAUAGCGCUCGUUGGGAGGCAACCCACCUUGUAUCUUUUUCCUUUUUGGUUUUUUUGUUGUUUUCAAUAAAAUACACAGUUAUGCCUCUGGUUAGAUGUGUUUUUGUGGUUUAAAUAGUGUUUGUGCCAAGCAAGGCCAUUGGGAUGAUUUGGGUGAAAGUUGAUUUGAUCUUGCUGAAAAACAGAAACUUUUGUGCUCAUGAAAAUAUUUUUCAUUUUUAUCUGAAGAGUGCUAAGUUGAUUCUUUUUGCAGAAGAUUAAUAAACAAAUUAUUCACGCCGUCCUAAUUUUUCAGAAAUUUUGGAGUUACAGAAGUAUUCAAAGUAGUCAGAUUGCUAUAGACUGUUCUGUGUUUGACAAAUUCUGUUUUCUUUGCGUUGUGUGCUUAUUUUGAUGAUUCUAUGGUUUUGUUUGAUGAGGUUUCUCCAUAGAAAAUUUGGAAUACAGUAGAUAUAAUGCAAAAAUAAAAUAUGAGUGGGUUUGCAACAAUACUUAUAGUAGUGGUUUGCUUUCUUAUACUAACGGAUCUCACGAAGGUUUUGUUGAGUUUUGUGUGAUUGAAGUUUUCAAGUUUUGGGGGAUCUUAUGAUGGAUGAAGGACUAAGGAUUAGCAAAAGGCUAAGCUUGGGGAUGCCCGAGGCACCCCAACAUAAUAUUCAAGAAGUAGCAAGCAACUGAUCUUAGGGAUGCCCCCGAGUGGCAUCCCCUCUUUCUUCUAAUAACCAUCGGUAUUUUACUUGGAAUUAUAUUUUUAUUUGUCACAUUUUAUGAGUUUUGCUUGGAGCUUCUUGUAUGAUACGAUUCUUUUCUUGUUUUGCUUUGUGUUUUAAGUGUUGAAUCCUUGCUGAACGCACAUUUUUUAGAGAGCCAAAAAUUAUGCUUGCUCCUAUACUUCACUUCAAUUUUUUUAGAGCCUUGGAUUUGCGCUAGUGCUUCACUUUUAUCUUUUUGAGCACGGUGUGCUUUGUUAUUUUUAAAUAAAUUCUCUCAUGCUUCAAUUAGAUUUAUUUGGGAGUUAGUAAUUUUUUUAAGAAAUUCUCUCUUGCUUCACUUAGAUUGUUUUGAGAGACAGAAAUAUCAUGCUCAUACUCUUCACUUAUAUUUGUUUGAGCUUAUCAAAAGCAUCAUAUAAAAAUAGUCCCAAAGUGAUAGAUAUCCAAGGAGGAUAUAAUAAAAACUUUCAUGAAGAUCAUUGGACAAAAUAAACUUGAUUCUUAGUAAUGGUUUUGAGAUAUGACGACAUGAUAUGUGAGUCAUGUUGAUGAGUAAUUAUGCUUUAGUAAGAAUAUUGAUGUUAUGGUUUGUGAUUCCCUAUGCAAGCACGAAAGUCAAUAGUUAUGCAAUGAAAUUUAUAAACUACUUGUGGUGCAUUACACGGUGUUACUUAUGCUUAAUGCUUGGGUACGAGAUUUUUCGUUUCUUGGUUGGUCACUUCUCAAUCUUUUUGCUAGCCUUCAUUUUGCACUCAUUACUUGUGCAUCCAAAACCCUUUAAACCAGUUUUGCCAUAUGAGUCCACUUUACCUACCUAUAUGUGGUAUUUCCACGAUGUUCUAAGCAAAUUUGCAUGUGCCAUCUAUAAUUUUCAAAAUAAAUUUCUCUUUUGUGUGCUCUACCGCUUGCGAAGCGGUGAGGGGUGGCCAAUAUUUUCCAUGCUAGAUGUGUUAUUCUCACGGUGAGUAUUUAUUCACUUGUCAUUGCAUGAGAGUAUGACAAAGGUACUAGGGAUGAACAGUCCCUAAAUGAAAAAUGAAUUUACUUUAUGUUAUCAAAUAAUAAAUUCCUUGGAAAGUGUUGGUAUGGAGGGCACCCGUGGAUACGGACAAGCCAUGGAAAGUGAAAGUAAUGGUGGAAAAAGGAAUAAACUUUAUUUUCUGUUUUGGGACCGCCUAUGAUGUAUCUAGCAUGGCAAGUGUUGGGAGCUCUAAGUCAUUUUCGUUGGUGGGAAAAGUAUGCCUAUCAAAAUGUUUUUAUCUCUCAAUUUUCUCUAUGAGCUCUGGCACCUCUACAAAUCCCUACUUCCCUCCGCGAAAGGCCUUUCUUUUACUUAUGCAAUUUUUAUCUUGAAUUUGAGUCUCCAUCUUCUCUUAUAAAGCACCAACUAAGGGGCACUAUGAUCGUAUAUGAGCAUUGGGUGUAGCUAAUAUUCGAGUGUGUUUCAUGAAUGGAUCAAUGACUGAGCAUGAUGGGAUUGGGAUAACUUGAUUUAGUGUUGAUAUUUUGAAAGACAUGGUUGCUUGUUGAUUUGCUUGAGUAUUAAAGUCUUCAUGUCAAAACUAGACUAUUGCUUUGAACCAUAUAAAAGUCCAAAUGUCCAUGUUACAAAGAAAAGAAAUGUGAUGAACAUGUUCGGUAGCAUUCCACAUCAAAAAUUCUGUUUUUAUCAUUUACCUACUCGAGGACGAGCAGGAAUUAAGCUUGGGGAUGCUGAUACGUCUCCAAUGUAUCUAUAAUUUCUUAUUGUUACAUGCUGUUAUAUUAUCAUUCUUGGGUGUUUUACAAUCAUUUUAUAGUCAUUUUAUAGCAUUUUUUGGUACUAAACUAUUGACAUAGUGCCCGGUGCCAGUUGCUGUUUUCUGCAUGUUUUUUACAUCGUAGGAAACCAAUACCAAAAGGAGUCCAAACGCAACGAAUCUUUUUAUGGAUUUUUUUUGGACUAGAAGACAUCAAGUGGGCCAGGAACGCACCUAAGGGGAGCUCCGAGGGGAGCACAACCCACUAGGGUGCACCUGGGGGCCCAGGCGCGCCCCAGUGGGUUAUGCCCUCCUCGUUGGCCUCCCGCACCGCCUCUUUGCUCUAUAAAUAUCCCAAUAUUCCAGAAACCCUAGGAGAGUCGACGAAAAUCAAUUCCAGCCGCCGCAGAGUCCAGAAACACCAGAUCCAAUCUAGACACCAUCACGGAGGGGUUCAUCAUGUCCAUUGGUGCCUCUCCGGUGAUAUGUGAGUAGUUCUUUGUAGACCUACAUGUCCGUAGUUAGUAGCUAGCUGGCUUCCUCUCUCUCUCGCUCUCUCUCUCUCUCUCUAUCUCUCUCUCUCUCUCUUGAUUAUCAAGACAAUGGUCUCUUGGAGAUCCAUAUGAUGUAAGUCUUUUUCGAUGUGUUUGUUGGGAUUCGAUGAACUUUGAGUUUAUGAUCAGAUCUAUGUUUUUAUCCAUGAAAGUUAUUUGGGUCUUCUUUGAUCUCUUAUAUGCGUGAUUGAGUAUAGCCUCGUAUUUCUUCUCCAAUAUUUGGGUUUUGUUUGGCCAACUUGAUCUAUUUAUCUUGCAAUGGGAAGAGGUGCUUUGUGAUGGGUUCGAUCUUAUGGUGCUUGAUCCCAGUGACAGAAAGGGAAAUGACAUGUAUGUACCGAGGCUAUUAAGGAUAACAAGAUGGGGUCUAUUUCGACAUCAAUAGAUCUUGUCUACAUAAUGACAUCGUUCUUAUUGCAUUACUCUGUUUUUACCUAAACGUAAUACACUAGAUGCAUGUUGGACAGCGGUCGAUGUGUGGAGUAAUAGUAGUAGAUGCAGGCAGGAGUCGGUCCACUAAUCUUGGACGUGAUGCCUAUAUAAUGAUCAUUGCCUGGAUAUCGUCAUGAUUAUUUGAAGUUCUAUCAAUUGCCCAACAGUAAUUGGUUUCCCACCGUUUGCUAUUUUUCUCAAGAGAAGCCACUACUGAAACCUACGGCCCCCGGAUCUCUUUUCCUCAUAUUUGCCUUUGCGAUCUAUUUUCCUUUGCUUUUAUUUUCAGAUCGAUUAAACUAAAAAUACAAAAAUACCUUUCUGCAAUUUAUUUGUUCCGUGAUCUAUUAAUCCAAUCAACCACUUUUUAUCUCACGUUAUUUGCCUAUCUUGAGGCGCCAUACCCGAAAGGGGUUGACAACCCCUUUAACACGUCGGGUUGCGAGUAUUUGUUAUUUGUGUGCAGGGGCUGUUUAUGUGGUGUGAGGAGGUUCUCCUACUGGUUCGAUAACCUUGGUCUCAUCACUGACGGAAAUACCUACCGUUGCUAUACUGCAUCAUCCCUUCCUCUUUGGGGAAAUACCAACGUUGUUCUAGCAGACAUCAAGCCGGAAUGACAAGAAUAUAUAUUAUUCGAUCACAGAUAAAAUCAAUGUAGUCCUUCUUCACAACUUCACAACAAAGCAUACAAGGCAAGAUUCCUCAGUCUACAUCAGAAAGGUAUGAUUGGAUUCUCGUGCAAGAUAUCUAGUCUUCUUCAGUAAGAUACCGCAAAAGCUUAUGGCAUAAGGUACCGAGUCUUUCCUAGUAAGUCUUUAAGGAGGAAACUUAUGAGGUACGCUAUCCUAGCCUUCCUCAGCCAGCUAUCUGCCGAAAGCUUUGAGCACAAGCCAUCCAGUCUUCCUCAGCACGAUAUCCUGAUGGCUUCCAAUGCAAGUUGCCCAGUAUUCUUCAGUACGUCAUUGGUACAAGAAAAUAAACAAUGGGUUGUCAGCAUAUGGAAGUGUUUUCCAAGCAUCAGAUCUACAACAGUUGGGUCAGAAACAAGAAUCAGUCAGAAUAAAGGUAUGCCUCGAGAAUCAGGUAUUUCUUCAUACGGUGAGCAUGUUGUCAAGUUCAUGCAAGUCCUUCGCAGAAGAAAGAAUUCAUGGUAUGCAUCCGACAACCUCACUGGUUAUGCAAGUGAAGGAAAACCAGUGGGUGAUGCAAGAAUCGACAAGUUUUGAAGGAAGAAAAUGUUGAGAUAUCAUCUUGGUAGUAAUUAUCGAGAUCAGCCCCCCCCCCACAUCCGACAAGGUGAUGUUAUUAAUCCUGUCACUGUUUGGCAUAGUUAACAACAGUAAUGAGAUCUGUAUAAGCACGCGUGAGUCGGAUAAACAUCCCGAGACUCAAGACAUGAACAAGACCAAGGUAUGGUUGCAAUAUAUUGCAUGUGACAACACUCAGGGCCGUGAAAAUAAUCAAGGAUAUAUAAGGCCCCGCUCUUUCAGUUAAAAAUCCAGGCGAAGAAAAUAAUAAUGAAAGAGCAUGAUCGACAAUACCUGUAUGUCGGCUAUUGUGUGAACAAUGUGGUAUGUAUGCCCAAGGCAGUCUUAUUCCACAUCAAACCCAAGUGAAGGUACGCCGAAGAGGUCUACCCCAUUGUAGUAAGGACCUCAUGGCAAGGCAACCAGCUCAGUCAACAGUAUAUGCUCAGAACUAUCAGCAUCAUAUACCCAAGUUUGUCAAGUCCGACCCAAGGACAGCUCAACAUAUUGACCUCAGCAACCGUGCUAAAGCAUCGCACUGACUGCUAUCCACAUGGAUAUACCAAUAAAAUGAGUAAUCUGAGCAUUCAUAACAAGCCUCAAAGCAUGAGCUCUCACAUAUGGAAAGCAAUUAAAGAAUAGCAUGUGUGAACAAGAUUCUUUGCCAAGAUCACCGCCAGUCAAGUCUGCAAAUGUUAUCAUUAGGUGAUGGUGCAUUUUUCUAUCAGUCACGAAAAGCGACAUUCAAACCUUUGGUACAGUUUGGAUACUCAAGAUAGUGAAGUCAGUCAAGAUACUCCUGUGAGAUGGUAGGAUCACAUUCUAAUUGUACCACAUCUCACGCGAAGAAGCAAAAACUUAGGUUCAAUAGAUACUGGCCGAUAAUUGUUCAGGAAGAAAGGUGGGAUGCCUACCGGGGCAUCCCCAAGGUUAGAUGCUUGAGACUUCUUGAAAUUUUAACUAGGGAUGCCUUGGGGAUCCCCAAGCUUGAGCUCUUGCAUCUCCUUAAUGCCUCUCAUAUCAUGGUUUCCCUAAUUCUUAAAAAUUCAUCCACACAAAACUCAACAAGAACUCGUGAGAUACGUUAGUAUAAAUCAAUGCAAAACCUUAUCAUUCUCUACUAUGGAGAAUCACUAAAAUUAUUGUUUAACAUUGCAUACUAAAUUCCACUGCAUGUUUAAUACUCCUAUCCUUAAGUAGAAUCAUUAAACAAGCAAACAUUUGCAAACAAUGCAAACAUAAUAGCAAUCUGUCUAAAUAGGACAGUCUGUGAAGAAUGCAAGAAGAUUUAUACUUCUCUACAACAACAACAACAACAAAGCCUUUAGUCCCAAACAAGUUGGGGUAGGCUAGAGGUGAAACCCAUGGCUCUGGCACAUGGAUAGCAAGCUUCCACGCACCCCUGUCCAUAGCUAGCUCUUUGUCGAUACUCCAAUCCUUCAGGUCUCUCUUAACGGACUCCUCCCAUGUCAAAAUCGGUCGACCCCGCCCUCUCUUGACAUUCUCCGCACGCUUUAGCCGUCCGCUAUGCACUGGAGCUUCUGGAGGCCUGCGCUGAAUAUGCCCAAACCAUCUCAAACAAUGUUGGACAAGCUUCUCCUCAAUUGGUGCUACCCCAACUCUAUCUCGUAUAUCAUCAUUCCAGACUCGAUCCUUCCUCGUGUGGCCACACAUCCAUCUCAACAUACGCAUCUCCGCCACACCUAACUGUUGAACAUGUCGCCUUUUAGUCGGCCAACACUCCGCGCCAUACAACAUUGCGGGUCGAACCGCCGUCCUGUAGAACUUGCCUUUUAGCUUUUGUGGCACUCUCUUGUCACAGAGAAUGCCAGAAGCUUGGCGCCACUUCAUCCAUCCGGCUUUGAUUCGAUGGUUCACAUCUUCAUCAAUACCCCCAUCCUCCUGCAACAUUGACCCGAAAUACCGAAAGGUGUCCUUCCGAGGUACCACCUGGCCAUCAAGGCUAACCUCCUCCUCCUCACAGCUAGUAGUACUGAAACCGCACAUCAUGUACUCGGUUUUAGUUCUACUAAGCCUAAACCCUUUCGAUUCCAAGGUUUGUCUCCAUAACUCUAACUUCCUAUUUACCCCCAUCCGACUAUCGUCAACUAGCACCACAUCAUCCGCAAAGAGCAUACACCAUGGGAUAUCUCCUUGUAUACCCCUUGUGACCUCAUCCAUCACCAAUGCAAAAAGAUAAUGGCUCAAAGCUGACCCCUAAUGCAGUCCUAUCUUAAUCGGGAAGUCAUCGGUGUCGACAUCACUUGUUCGAACACUUGUCACAACAUUAUUGUACAUGUCCUUGAUGAGGGUAAUGUACUUUGCUGGGACUUUGUGUUUCUCCAAGGCCCACCACAUGACAUUCCGCGGUAUCUUAUCAUAGGCCUUCUCCAAGUCAAUGAACACCAUAUGCAAGUCCUUCUUAUGCUCCCUAUAUCUCUCCAUAAGUUGUCGUACCAAGAAAAUGGCUUCCAUGGUCGACCUCCCAGGCAUGAAACCAAACUGAUUUUUGGUCACGCUUGUCAUUCUUCUUAAGCGGUGCUCAAUGACUCUCUCCCAUAGCUUCAUUGUAUGGCUCAUCAGCUUAAUUCCACGGUAAUUAGUACAACUCUGAACAUCCCCCUUGUUCUUGAAGAUUGGUACUAAUAUACUCCGUCUCCAUUCUUCUGGCAUCUUGUUUGCCCGAAAAAUGAGGUUGAAAAGCUUGGUUAGCCAUACUAUCGCUACGUCCCCGAGACCUUUCCACACCUCAAUGGGGAUACAAUUAGGGCCCAUCGCCUUGCCUCCUUUCAUCCUUUUUAAAGCCUCCUUCACCUCAGACUCCUGGAUGCGCCGCACAAAACGCAUGCUGGUCUCAUCAAAGGAGUCAUUCAGUUCAAUGGUAGAACUCUCAUUCUCCCCAUUGAACAGCUUGUCGAAGUACUCCCGCCAUCUAUGCUUAAUCUCUUCGUCCUUCACCAAGAGUUGGCCUGCUCCGUCCUUGAUGCAUUUGACUUGGCCAAUAUCUCUCGUCUUCCUCUCCCGGAUCUUAGCCAUCUUAUAGAUGUCCCUUUCACCUUCCUUCGUGCCUAACCGUUGGUAGAGGUCCUCAUAUGCCCGACCCCUUGCUUCACCAACAGCUCGCUUUGCGGCCUUCUUCGCCAUCUUGUACUUCUCUAUGUUGUCUGCACUCCUAUCCAGGUAUAGGCGUCUGAAGCAAUCUUUCUUCUCUUUAAGCACCUUCUGGACAUCAUCAUUCCACCACCAGGUAUCGUUAUCUUCGCUUCUCCUUCCCCUGGACACUCCAAACUCCUCCGAGGCCACCUUACGAAUGCAAGUCGCCAUCUUCAUCCACACAUUGUCCGCAUCCCCUCCUUCCUCCCAAGGGCCCUCCUUAAAUACCCUCUCCUUGAACACCUGAGCUACCUCCCCCUUGAGCUUCCACCACUUCGUUCUAGCGACCUUGGCACGCUUAUCCCGCUGGACACGAAUCCGAAAGCGGAAGUCAGCAACCACCAGCUUAUGCUGGGGGACAACACUCUCCCCAGGUAUCACCUUACAGUCUAGGCACGCACGCCUAUCUUCUCUUCUCGAGAGGAUGAAAUCAAUCUGGCUAGAGUGUUGGCCACUACUAAAAGUUACCAGAUGUGAUUCUCUCUUUCUAAAGAGGGUGUUAGCUACAAUCAUGUUGUAGGCUAGAGCAAAGCUUAAGACAUCUUCUCCUUCUUGAUUCCUGAUGCCAUAGCCAAAGCCCUCAUGCGCCCCUUCAAAACCUGUGUUAGAUGUACCCACGUGGCCAUUGAGGUCUCCUCCUAUGAAGAGCUUCUCACCAAUCGGUACACUCCUAACCAUGUCUUCCAAGCCUUCCCAGAACUCCCUCUUGGUGUUCUCAUUGUGGCCUACUUGCGGGGCAUAUGCGCUGAUAACAUUGAGAACCAAGUCCUCAGCUACCAGCUUGACCAGGAUAAUCCGGUCCCCACGUCUCCUGAUGUCUACCACUCCAUACUUGAGGCUCUUGUUGAUCAAGAUGCCUACGCCAUUUCUGUUUGCAGCCGUCCCCGUGUACCACAGCUUGAAGCCGGUAUCCUCCACCUCCUUCGCCUUCUGUCCUCUCCAUUUGGUUUCUUGGACGCAAAGGAUAUCACACCGUAGAAAAUUUAUCAAAGGAUAAUGUGUAAAAAUUUCAAGAUUUUAUCACAUUCUGAAUUUCCAUAAGAAUUCAAACAAUAAUAACUUUCUAUUUUCGAAUAGCAACAUAUAGACUUGUAAAAUAAGCAUGGUAAAGGCUAUACUUGACAUUUGUAUUGAUGUAAAAGAUAAAAAAACAUUAUUCUAAAUAGCAGCAAGCAGAUAAAAAUAAAAGAAAAUGACACUCCAAGCAAAACACAUAUCAUGUGACGAAUAAAAAUAUAGCUCCAAGUAAUGUUACCGAUAAUGUUGGAGACGAAAGAGGGUGAUAAAUCUCCAACGUAUCUAUAAUUUUUGACUGUUCCAUGUUGUUAUAUUAUCAUUCUUGGAUAUUUUACAAUCAUUUUAUAGUCAUUUUAUAUCAUUUUUUUGGUACUAACCUAUUGACAUAGUGCCCAGUGAUAGUUGUUGUUUUCUGCAUGUUUUUUACAUAGCAGGAAAUCAAUAUCAAACGGAGUCCAAACGCAGCGAAACUUCUUGAGGAUUUUUUUGGGCCAGAAGACAUCCAUUGGGCCAAUAAAGCACCAGGGGGUGCUCCGAGGGGGCCAGCACCCACUAGGGCAUGCCUGGGGCAACAGGCGCGCCUAGGUGGGUUGUGCCCACCUCGGGUGCCCACUGAACCGCCUCUUUGCUCUAUAAAUACCCCAAUAUUCCAGAAACCCUGGGGGAGUCGACAAAAUCAAUUCCAGCCACCGCAGUGUCCAGAACCACUAGAUCCAAUCUAGACACCAUCACAGAGGGGUUCACCACUUCCAUUGGUGCCUCCCUGAUGAUGCGUGAGUAGUUCUUUGUAGAUCUUCGGGUCUGUAGUUAGUUAGCUAGAUGGCUUCUUCUUCUCUCUCUCUCUUGAUUAUCAAUACAAUGGUCUCUUGGAGAUCCAUAUGAUGUAAGCCUUUUGCGGUGUGUUUGUUGGGAUCCGAUGAACUUUGAGUUUAUGAUCAGAUAAAUGUUUUUAUCCAUGAAAGUUAUUUGAGCUUCUUUGUUCUCUUAUAUGCAUGAUUGCUCAUAGCCUCGUAUUUCUUCUCCGGUAUUUGGGUUUUGUUUGGCCAACUUGAUCUAUUUAUCUUACAAUGUGAAGAGGUGCUGUGUGAUGUGUUCGAUCUUACGAUGCUUGAUCCCACUGACAGAAAGGGAAACGACACGUAUGUAUCGUUGCUAUUAAGGAUAACAAUAUGGGGUAUAUUUAUACAUAAAUAGAUCUUGCCUACAUCAUGUCAUUGUUCUUAUUGCAUUACUCCAUUUCUCCAUGAACUUAAUACACUAGAUGCAUGCUGGAUAGCGGUCGAUGUGUGGAGUAAUAGUAGUAGAUGCAGGCAGGAGUCGGUCUACUAAUCUUGGAUGUGAUGCCUAUAUAAUGAUCAUUGCCUGGAUAUCGUCAUGAUUAUUUGAAGUUCUAUCAAUUGCCCAACAAUAAUUGUUUUCCCACCGUUUGCUAUCUUUCUCGAGAGAAGCCACUAGUGAAACCUAUGGCACCCGGGUCUCUUUUCAUCAUAUUUGCCUUUGUGAUCUAUUUUCCUUUGCAUUUAUUUUCAGAUAUCUUAAACAAAAAAUACCUUACUGCAAUAUAUUUGUUCUGCGAUCUAUUCAUCCUAUCUACCAUUUUUACCUCACAUUAUUUGCCUAUCUUGAGGCGUCGUACCCGAAAGGGAUUGACAACCCCUUUUACACGUCAGGUUGCGAGUAUUUGUUAUUUGUGUGCAGGUGUUGUUUACGUGGUGUGAGGAGGUUCUCAUACUGGUUCGAUAACCUUGGUCUCAUCAUCGAGGGAAAUACCUACCGUCACUAUACUGCAUCAUCCCUUCCUCUUUGGGAAAAUACCGAUGUAGUUCUAGCAGACAUCAAAAGGAAUUUCUGGCGCCGUUGCCGGGGACGAUCAAGUCAAGAUAGUCUCUCGGCCACGUGCCAAUUUCUGACACCGUUGUCGGGGAGGAUCUUCAACAUCAACCAGGUUCCUAAUCACAAAUCUCAUCUCCUUGCAAUUUACAUCAUUUGCCAUUUGCCUCUCGUUUUCCUCUCCCCCACUUCACAAAAAUUUGUCGUUUUAUUCGACCUCUUUUUCGUUUGUCGUUUUCUCGUCGAAUCUAUUUUUGAGUGCAAUCUUUUUGUGAAGUCAUCAUGACUCAAGAGAACACCAAGUUGUGUGAUUUCUCAAAAACCAACAACAAUGAUUUUAUUAGCACUCCGAUUGAUCCUCCCGCCACUAGUGCGGAGUCUUAUGAUAUUAAUACUGCUUUGUUGAAUCUUUUCAUGAAAGAUCAAUUUGCCGGUACUCCUAAUGAGGAUGCCGUGUCUCAUCUUAACACAUUCGUGGAAUUAUGCAAUAUGCAAAAGAAAAAAGAUGUGGACAAUGAUGUUGUGAAGUUGAAAUUAUUUCCGCUUUCUUUGCGAGUUCGCGCAAAAAUUUGGUUUUCUUCUUUGCCUCGCAAUAGUAUCGAUUCUUGGAACAAGUGCACGGAUGCUUUUAUUACUAAGUAUUUUCCGCCCUCAAAAAUUAUUUCCCUUAGAACCUAGAUCAUGAAUUUCAAGAAACUUGAACAUGAGCAUGCUGCACAAUCUUGGGAAAGGAUGAAAUUGAUGCUAAGGAAUUCCCCAACUCAUGGGUUAAAUCUUUGGAUGGUCAUACAAUUUAUUUAUGCGGGAUUGAAUUUUGUUUCUCGUAAUCUUUUAGAUUCCGCCGUGAGAGGGGGGGGUACAUUUAUGGAAAUUACUUUGGGUGAAGCUACUAAAUUGCUAGACAAUAUUAUGGCCAAUUACUCACAAUGGCAUAUCGAAAGAGCUCCGACUAGUAAAAAAGUCAAUUCGGUAGAAGAAAUAAAUUCAUUGAGUAAAAAAGUUGAUGCUCUUAUGAAGUUGGUUGCUAAUAAAAGUGCUCCUACUAAUUUUACUGGUAUGACUUUGUCUACUUUGAUUGAGCAAAAUAGUGAUGCCAUAGAUGUGAAUUUUGUCUCACGAAACAAUUUCAAUAACAAUGCUUAUAGAGGUAAUUUUAAUCCUAGGACUUUUCCUAGUAAUUCCUCUAAUAACUAUGGUAAUUCCUAUGGUAAUCCAACCUAUAAUAAUAAUAGAAACACCUCUGAUCUUGAGAGCAAUAUUAAAGAAUGUAUCAAUACGCAAAAAACUUUCAACACUUCGAUAGAAGAAAUGUUGAAUAAAAAUGAUGAUUUGUCUAGAAGUAUUGAUAGAAUUUCUCAUGAUGUAGAAACUCUCAAGAUGAAAAUUUUUGUGCCUAAAGUUGAAGAAUCAAUUAAAGAUCUUUAUGUUUCUAUAGAUGAAAGUAAGAAAAGAACUGCUAUGCUUAGAGCUAAAAGAGAAUUUUUAGAAAGGGCAUUUUCUAGUGAUUACUAUCAUAAAAGUGAUGAAGAUCUUAAAAUGAUUAGUGUUUCUUCUAUUUAUUCUUUGUUUAGUAAAAUUAAGAUUGAUGAAAAAGGGACUGGAGAAGAGUCAACUUUAGUUAGAAGGUGUCCCUAUGAUUCGGAGGGUGAAAAUCUUGUUGAAAAAAUUGAUAAAAGUGGGUUUGAAGAGGUCAAGACUUUAACUAGUGAUGUGCCCACUAUCUUGGAUUACAAAGACUUUAAUUAUGAUAGUUUCUCUUUGGCUGAUUGUAUUUCUUUGUUGCAAUCCCUGAUAAAUUCACCCCAUGCUUAUGAAGAAAAUAAAGCUUUUACUAAACAUAUUGUUAAUGCCAUGAUGAAAGCUUUUGAAGAAAAAUUGGAAUUAGAAGUUUCAAUUCCUAGAAAAUUGCAUGAUGAGUGGGAAUAUACUAAAAAAGUCAAGAUUAAAAUUAUGAGUGUUUUGCUUUAUGUGACUUGGGUGCUAGUGUUUCUACAAUUCUGAAAUCUUUAUGUGAUUUGCCUGGUCUUACCGAUAUUGAAGAAUGCUCUUUAAAUUUGCACCUGGCGGAUUCUACUAUUAAAAAGCCUAUGGGAAGAAUUAAUGAUGUUCUUAUUCUUGCAAAUAGGAAUUAUGUGCCCAUAUAUUUUAUUGUUCCUGAUAUUGAUUGCAAUCCGGCUUGUCCAAUUAUUCUUGGUAGACCGUUUUUGCGUACUAUUGGUGCCGUGAUUGAUAUGAAAGAAGGUGAUAUUAAAUUUCAGUUUCCACUAAGGAAGGGAAUGGAACACUUCCAUAGAACAAGAAUUAGGCCACCAUAUGAAUCAAUCAUGAGGGAAUCUUAUGGAUCUAGAACCAAGGAUGACAAAACUUAGAUCCUACGCGUUAUGCCUAGCUAGGGGCAUAAAAAGAUAGUGCUUGUUGGGAGGCAACCCAAUGAAUAAAAUUUAUUUUUGCUUUUUGCUUUCUGUUCUUGUGUGUUAGCACAAUUAUGCUACUGUUAUGAUUGUGUUUUUUGUUUUUAAAUUAUUGUUAGUUCCAAGCAAGGCCUUUGGGUUGAUUUGGUUGAAAGUUCAUUUGAUCUUGCUGAAAAACAGAAACUUAUGCACUAACGAUAAUAGUUUUAAUAAAUCACAUAAAAGUGCUUUUGAGUUAACUAUUUUUGCAGAAGAUUUAUAUACAAAUUACCCAGGUUUUCCUAAUUUCUCAAGAUUUUUGGAGUUACAUAAGUAUUAGAAAUAUUCAGAUUGCUACAGACUGUUCUGUUUUUGACAGAUUCUGUUUUCUUUGCGUUGUGUGCUUGUUUUGAUGAUUUUGUGGUUUUCUUUGAUGAUUUUUUUUCAUAGAAAAGUUGUAAUACAUUAGAUAUAAUGCAAAAACAAAAUAAUAAUAGAUUUGCAAUAGUACUUAUAGUAGUGGUUUGUUUUCUUAUACUAACGGAUCUCACGAAGGUUUUGUUGGAGUUUUGUGUGAUUGAAGUUUUCAAGUUUUGGUUGAUCUUACGGUGGCUGAAGGAAUAAGGAUUAGCAAAAGGCUAAGCUUGGGGAUGCCUGAGGCACCCCAAGAUAAUAUUCAAAGAAGUAGAAAGCAACUAAGCUUGGGGAUGCCCCCGAGUGGUAUCCCGGCUUUCUUCUAACAACCAUCGGUAUUUUACUUGAAACUAUAUUUUUAUUCGUCACAUAUUAUGAGUUUUGGUUGGAGCAUCUUGUAUGAUAUGAGUCUUUGCUUGUUUUGCUUUGUGUUUUAAGAGUUGAAUCCUUGAUGAACACACCUUUUUGAGAGAGCAAAAAAUUAUGCUAUGCUUGCUCCUAUGCUUCACUUAAAUUUUUAGAGCCAUGGAUUUGCUCUAGUGCUUCAUUUAUAUCUUUUUUUAGCACGGUGCGCUUUGUUAUUUUUGAAGAAAUGCUCUCUUGCUUCACUUAGAUUAUUUUUAGAGAAAGAAAAAAUUAUGCUCAUGUUCUUCACUUAUAUUUGUUUGAGCUUAUCAAAAGCAACAUAUAAAAAUAGUACCAAAGUGAUAGAUAUCCAAGGAGGAUAUAAUAAAAACUUUCAUGAAGAUCAUUGGACAAAAUAAACUUGAUUCUUAGUAAUGGUUUUGAGAUAUGACGAUAUGAUAUGUGAGUCAUGUUGAUGAGUAAUUGUGCUUUAGUAAGAAUAAUUAUGUUAAGGUUUGUGAUUCCCGAUGCAAGCACGAAAGUCGAUAAUUUUGCAAUGAAAUUUAUAUCCUACUUAUGGUGCAUUAUUUGGUGUUACUUGGGCUUAAUGCUUGGGUACGAGAUUUUUCGCUUUUUGGUUUGUCGCUUCUAAAUAUUUAAGCUAGCCUUCAUUUUGCAUAUGAUCACUACUUAUGCAUCCAAAACCCUUUAAACCAGUUUUGCCUUAUGAGUCCACUAUACCUACCUAAAUGUGGUAUUUCCAUGCCGUUCUAAGCAAAUUUGCAUGUGUCAUCUCUAAUUUUCAAAAUAAAUUUCUCUUUUGUGUGCUCUACCGCUCGCGAGGCGGUGAAGGGUGACCAAUAUUUCCAUGCUAGAUGUGUUAUUCUCACGAUGAAUGUUUAUUCACUUGUCAUUGCAAGAGAGUACGACAAAGGUAUUAGGGAUGCCCAGUCCCGAAAUGAAAAAUGAAUUUACUUUAUGUUGUCAAAUAAUAAAUUCCUUGGAAAGUGUUGGUAUGGAGGGCAACCAUGGAUUCGGCUAGCCAUGGAAAGUGAAAGUAAUGGUGGAAAAAGGAAUAAACUUUAUUUUUGUUUGGGAACCGCCUAUGAUGUAUCUAGCAUGGAAAGUGUUGGGAUCUCUAAGUCGUUUUCGUUGGUGGGAAAGUAUGCCUCUCAAAAAUAUUUUUAUCUUUCAAUUGAAGCUUUGAGCUCUGACACCUCUACAAAUCCCUACUUUCCUCCGCGAAGGGCCUUUCUUUUACUUAUGCAAUUUUUAUUUUGAAUUUGAGUCUCCAUCUUCUCUUAUAAAGCACCAACUAAGGGGCAAUAUCAUCGUAUUUGAGCAUUGGGUGUAGCUAAUAUUUGAGUGUGUUUCAUGAAUGGAUCAAUGAUUGAGCAUAAUGGGCUAGUGAUAACUUGCUUUAGUGUUGAUAUUUUGAAAGACAUGGUUGCUUGUUGGUAUGCUUGAGUAUUGAAGUCUUCAUAUCAAAACUAGACUAUUGCUUUGAAUCAUAUAAAAGUCCAAAUGUCCAUGCUAUAAAGAAAAGAAAUGUGAUGAACAUGUUAGGCAACAUUCCACAUCAAAAAUUCUGUUUUUCUCAUUUACCUACUCGAGGACGAGCAGAAAUUAAACUUGGGGAUGUUGAUACGUCUCCAACGUAUCUAUAAUUUUUGAUUAUUCCAUGUUGUUAUAUUAUUCUUGGAUGUUUUACAAUCAUUUUAUAGUCAUUUUACAUCAUUUUUUGGUACUAACCUAUUGACAUAGUGCCCAAUGCCAGUUGCUAUUUUCUGCAUGUUUUUUACAUCACAGGAAAUCAAUAUCAAACGGAGUCCAAACGCAGCAAAACUUCUUGAGGAUUUUUUUCGGCCAUAAGACAUCCAUUGGGCCAAGAAAGCACCAGGGGGUGCUCCGAGGGGGCUAGCACCCACCAGGGCACGCCUGGGGGCCCAGGCGCGCCCAGGUGGGUUGUGCCCACCUUGGGUGCCACCUGAACUGCCUCUUUUCUCUACAAAUACCCCAAUAUUCCAGAAACCCUAGGGGAGUCGACGAAAAUCAAUUCCAGCCACUUUAGAGUCCAGAACCACCAGAUCCAAUCUACACACCAUCACGGAGGGAUUCACCACUUCCAUUGGUGCCUCUCUGAUGAUGCGUGAGUAGUUCUUUGUAGACCUUUGGGUCCGUAGCUAGUAGCUACUGCCUCCGUUCCGAUUUACUCGUUGUGGUUUUAGUUCAAAUUUGAACUAAAACCGCGACGAGUAAAUCCGUUCCGAUUUACUCGUCGUGGUUUUAGUUCAAAUUUGAACUAAAACCGCGACGAGUAAAUCGGAACGGAGGGACUAGAUGGCUUCCGCUCUCUCUCUCUCUCUAUCUAUCUUUCUAUCUAUCUAUCUAUCUAUCUAUCUAUCUCUCUCUCUCUUGAUUAUCAAUACAAUGGUCUCUUGUAGAUCCAUAUGAUGUAAGCCUUUUUGCGAUGUGUUUGUUGGGAUCCGAUGAACGUUGAGUUUAUGAUGAGAUCUAUGUUUUUAUCCAUGAAAGCUAUUCGAGUCUUCUUUUAUCUCUUACAUGCAUGAUUGCUUAUACCCUCGUAUUUCUUCUCCGAUAUUUGGGUUUUGUUUGGCCAACUUGAUCUACUUAUCUUGCAUUGAGAAGAGGUGCUUUGUGAUGGGUUCGAUCUUACGGUGCUUGAUCCCAAUGACAGAAAGGGAAACAACACGUAUGUAUCAUUGCUAUUAAGGAUAACAAGAUGGGCUCUAUGUUUCUACAUAAAUAGAUCUUGUCUACAUCAUGUCAUCAUUCUUAUUGCAUUACUCCAUUUCUCCAUGAACUUAAUACACUAGAUGCAUGCUGGAUAGCGGUCGAUGUGUGGAGUAAUAGUAGUAGAUGCAGGCAAGAGUCGGUCUACUAAUCUUCGACGUGAUGCCUAUAUAAUGAUCAUUGCCUAGAUAUCGUCAAUGAUUAUUUGAAGUUCUAUCAAUUUCCCAACAGUAGUUGUUUUCUCACCAUUUGCUAUUUUUCUCAAGAGAAGCCACUAGUGAAUCCUACGGCCCACGGGUCUCUUUUCAUCAUAUUUUCCUUUUGCGAUCUAUUUUCAUUUGCAUUUAUUUUUAGAUCUAUUAAACCAAAAAUACAAAAAUACCUUUCUGCAAUUUAUUUUCCCCGCGAUCUAUUCAUCCUAUCUACCACUUUUACCUCAGUUAUUUGCCUAUCUUGAGGCGACGUACCCGAAAGGGAUUAACAACCCCUUUUACACGUCGGAUUGCGAGUAUUUGUUAUUUGUGUGCAGGUGCUAUUUACGUGGUGUGAGGAGGUUCUUCUACUGGUUCAAUAACUUUGGUUUCAUCACUGAGGGAAAUACCAACUGUCACUAUACUGCAUCAUCCCUUCCUCUUUGGGGAAAUACCGACGUAGUUCUAGCAGACAUCAAGGGGAUGCCUUCCGGGGCAUACCAAAGCUUAGUUGCUUGGGUCUUCCUUGAAUAUUAUCUUGGGGUGCCUUGGGCAUCCCCAAGCUUAGUGUCUUUCCACUCGUUAUUCUCCUCAUAUCGAUAUCUCACCCAAAACUUGAAAACUUCAAUCACACAAAACUUAACGGAGCUUCGUGAGAUAGGUUAGUAUGAUAAAGACAAAUCAUUCACCUUGGUACUGUCAAGAUAAGAUUCAUAAUUGUUCUCCUACAAUGCCUAUUGUACAUUAUCAUUUGCACAAUUUAUAUCACUUAAUAUAAGCUAUGGAAACACUAAAGCAAGCAAACUAUGCAUUGAAAACAGAAUCUGUCAAAAACAGAACAGUUUGUAAUGAUUUGAAUAAUAACCAUACUUAUAUUACUCUAAAACUUUUGAAAAAUUAGGAAAGCGUAGGAAAUUUGUAUACCAAUAAUCUAUUUAAAACUCAGAAUUUUUCAACGCUCCAGUGAUAUUUCACAAUUCUAUUACUGGGCGCAAAAGUUUUUGUUUUUGCGCAAAAUCAAGUCAACUAUCAUCCACACUAUCCCAAAGGCUUUACUUGGUACUUUAUUGAAAAAAACUAUAAAAGAUGACUCCUAUAGUAUCCUGAUCAUGUGAACACACAAAAAUAGUAGGGUUAAAUAUUGUGUUGUCUCCCAACAAGCGAUUUUCUUUAAUGCAUUUCUAGCUAGGCAUGAUGAUUUCAAUGAUGCUCACAUAAAAGAUAAGAAUUGAAACACAAAGAGAGCAUCAUGAAGAAUAUGACUAGAACAUUUAAGUCUAACCCACUUCCUAUGCAUAGGGAUUUUGUGAGCAAAUAUUUUUUUGGGAGCAAGAAUAACCUAGCAUAGGAAGGCAAAGCAAGUGCAACUUCAAAACUUUUAACAUAAAGAGAGGAAACUUGAUAUUAUUGAGAUAUGUAGAAGCAUAUGUUCCUCUCUCAUAAUAAUUUUCAGUAGCAUCAUGAAUGAAUUCAAUAAUAUAUUUAUGAAAUAAAGAAUUCAUUUAUGAUCCACAAGCAUAGAAAUUUUAUUACUCUCCACAUAAGCAAAUUUCUUCUCAUCCAUAAUAGUGGGAGCAAACUCAACAAAAUAACUAUCAUGAGAUGCUUGAUUUACAUAAUCAAUUUGAGCAUCAAAAUCAUGAUGACAAAUUUGAUGGUUAUCAUUAUUCUUUAUAGCAUACAUGUCAUCACAAUAAUGAUCAUAGAUAGCAACUUUGUUGUCAUAAUCAACUGAAACCUCUUCCAAAAUAGUGUAUUCAUCACAAAAUAAAGUUAUGACCUCUCCAAAUCCACUUUCAUAAAUAUUACAAUAAGAUUCAACACCCUCCAAAAUAGUGGGGUCAAAAUUACCUAGAGUUGACACUCUUCCAAACCUACUUUCAUCAUUGUAAUCAUCAAAAAUAGGAGGCAUGCAAUCAUCAUAACAAAUUUUCUCAUCAAAACUUGGGGGACUAAAAAUAUCAUCUUCAUCAAAUAUAGCAUCCCCAAGCUUAUGGCUUUGCAUAUCAUUAGCAUCAUGGAUAUUCAUAGCAAGCAUACUAACAACAUUGCAAUCAUACUCAUCAUUCAAAGAUUUUACGCCAAACAUUUUAUUGAAUUCAUUUUCUAUCAAUUGAGCACAGUUUUCCGCUCCAUCAUUUUCAAGAAAGACACUAUAAAGAGGAAUAAUAUGAGGCAACCUCAAUUCCAUUUUUUGUAGUUUUUUUAGACCAAACUAGUGAUAAAAUAAUAAACUAAAAGAUUCAAUUGCAAGAUAUAAAGAUAUACAUUUAAGCACUCACCUCCCAGCAACGGCGCCAGAAAAAUGCUUGAUGUUGACUACGCAACAUUUCUUCUUGUAGACUCGUGGUGGGCCUCCAAGCGCAGAGUUUUAUAGGACGGUAGCAAUUUCCCCACAAGUGGAUGACCUAAGGUGUAUCAAUCCAUGGAUGGCAUGGCUGAAGAUUGUCUCUCUCAAACAACCCUGCACCAAAUAACAAAGAGUCUCUUGUGUCCCCAACACACCCAAUACAAUUGUAAAUUGUAUAGGUGCACUAGUUCGGCGAAGAUAUGGUGAUACAAGUGUAAUAUGGAUAGUAGAUAUAUGUUUUUGUAAUCCGAAAAUAUAAAAAUAGCAAGGUAACUAGUAACAAAAUAAGGCCUAGGGUUCAUACUUUCACUAGUGAAAAAUCUCUCAACAAUGAUAACAUAAUUGGAUCAUAUAACAAUCCAUCAAUGCGCAACAAAGAAUCACUCCAAAGUUUCUAUCAGAGAACAUAGGAUGAAAACGUGCAUCAACCCCUAUGCAUAGAUUACCCCAAUGUCACCUCGACAAUCUACGAGUUGAGUGCCAAAACAUACAUCAAGUGAAUCAAUAUAAUACACCAAUGUCACCACGUGUAUCCAUAUGCAAUACAUACAUCAAGUGUUGUCAAAUCCAAUAUUCAAUCCAACAUAACGAAACCUCAAAGAGCAAGACUCAAUUCAUCACAAGAAGGUAAAUAGGGAAGAACACCAUAAGAUCCAAAUAUAUUAACAAAGCUCGCGGUACAUCAAGAUCAUGCCAAAUCAAGAACACAAGAGAGGAAGACCAAACACAUAGAUACUAGUACAUACCCUCAGCCCCAAGGGUGAACUACUCCCUCCUAAUCAUGGUGGCCACCGGGAUGAUGAAGAUGGCCUACGGUGAUGAUUUCCCCCUUCGGCAGGGUGCCGGAACGGGGUCCUGAUUGGUUUUUUGUGGCUAUAGAGGCUUGCAGCGGCAGAACAUCUCAUUUAGGGUUCUUUCUGGGGGUUUGGGUAUUUAUAGGAUUUUUUGGCGUCAGUCUCACGUCAAGGGGGUGCCCGAGGGGCCCACAAGCUUGGGAGGCAUGCCCUAGGGGGCGGGCGCGCCCCCCGGGCUUGUGGCCUCCUCGACCACCUCAUGGUCUAGCUCCGGUACUUCGGGGGUCUCUUUUGGUCCAUAUAAAAUCACCCUUAAAUUUUUAGCCCAUUCUGAUAACUUUUAUUUCUGCACAAAAAACGACACCACGGUAGUUCUACUGAAAACAACAUCUAUCCAAGUUAGUUAUAAUUAAAUCAUACCAAAACCACAUAAAAUUGUUGUAAACAUGGCAUGAAUACUUCAUAAAUUAUAGAUACGUUGGAGACGUAACAAUGCCUAUAUACAUGAUCAUUGCCUUGAUAUUGUCAUAAUUAUGUGCUUUUCUAUCAAUUGCCCAACUGUAAUUUGUUCAACCACCGCAUGCUAUGUGUUCGAGAGAGAAGGCUCAAGUGAAAACUAUGGCCCCGGGGUCUACAUUAAUCAUAUAUAAAAAUCCAAAAUUCCUUAUCUGCAAUUUUAUCUCUUUUAUAUUGUUUUCCAAUUUAUAUAUCUAUCACUAUGAGAUUUGAUCCUUGCAAUUAACGAGUUCAAGGGUAUUGACAACCUCUUGCCCGCGUUGGGUGCUAGUAUUUGAUUUUGUAUGUGCAAGUGCUAUUCACAAGGUUUUGCGUGAUUCUCCUAUUGGCUCGAUAAACCUUGGUUCUCACUGAGGGAAAUACUUAUCUCUACUGUACUGCAUCUCCCCUCCUCUUCGUGGAAAAUCCCAACGUAGCUCACAAGUAGCAGGAAGAAUUUCUAGCGACGUUGCCGGGGAGAAUUCACGUCAAAGUAGUCUCCCAUCAACUUGCCAAUUUUGGCUCCGUUUCCGGGAACACAUCAUCAAAGCCUAUCACUUAUGGGUAAAAAGCCCUUCCGACAUGUGAAGGUUCAAACUAAAAAAAUGUUCUGUCGUCGCCCAAUAGGCUCUCAUUUUCCACUUUCUGUUCUGAUGCAAAGUUAAUUAGCCUUAUGAUUCAUACAAUUUGUGGAAUAAUCAAAGUGAAGUUGUGCUUUAUGGUAUAGCCAUAUAGGAAUAACUACUGCUCUAAGAUGUGAAAAGAACUUCCAAAGCAUCUAAUUAUGCUUGCAAAAGACCAGAUCAAAAUGCAUUUGAGUAUAUUACCAUUUCAGUAAAUGAUGAAAGUCUUAUCUUUUGAUAGGUCGACUAUUUGUUUGCCUAGAUUAAUAGUUAAUCAAAGUAUCACUACAUAUUUAUUGAUUCAGUGCUUAUUCGUCGAAUCAUUCUUCAAGGGAAUCCAUGCCAGUGUGCUUAACCUCACCUCCCACCACUUUCGACCGAGGGUGCGAUCCUUGCCAUAGGCAUCAUCGUUGUCACCGUGCAGGAGAACCUUCCAUUGCUCGAUGCAUCGGCAAUGAUGUUCCUGGAGAGAUGUGAAGCGGCGGGGAAAGGUAACUAGGUACAGGGCGCUACAACAAUGACUCCUUGCAUUGCCAUCGAACGACCCACCCGCUUAGGCGAUGCUCCUGGCUUGCCUGGUAGACAACAUAUAUACCUUGUAAGCAUGUGUUGAGUUACUACUGCAGGCUAUAAAUGUCUUUGUUUGCUAACAUGAGAAAAUCAAUGGACCACCAUCCUUGCUGAUUGAUUCGCGUGCGUGUGUGUUUUGUUUAUCUGAGGCACCAAAGAGGGGGGCGUAACACGAAACAUCAUGUGUAGCAGAUGGCGUUGCACCUCACAUGGAGUGGGUGGUGAAGCACGGGGCCACGACUAUGGCCGAUUUGCUGCUGGAGAACAACGCGAGCCUGAAGGUAGUCGGCGUGAACGGCCACCGGGUAUGGAAUUGUUUUCUCUUCUUUUACCCUAAAAUUGUACUCUCUUUUUGGGUGUUGUUGAAUUUGUUUUCCCUUUUUCCUAACAAACGGACUCUCCCAUUCAUUCAUUGAUAAUGUAGUUGAUUCAACGCCUGAUUGGUCAUUGAUGGGUCGAGGCUUAAGGCUCAUAGGUUUGUGCAAAAUGGUGUAGGUUCAUUUUGCAAAGGUCUAUUUGUCCACAGAAAACUAUUGAAUAAUGCUUGUGUGCGGGAAUUCUGAUUUAGGCACACCUGCCAAUCUGUAGGGCUAUUGACAUCCAAAAUAGUAAAUACAUCGUCUGGAAAAGGAUAAAACCUAAUCUAGGCGAGAUGGUUAACUUUUAUUUACAUUUAGAAACUAAUUUAUUUUCACGACAUGGGGCAGACUAUUAGAACCGAUCUAUAUGUGUGGUAGAGUUACUUUCUUGUCUGCAUCAGCAUUUUAGUUUCGACAAUAAGAUAUUAAGACAACAUUUCUUCUACCUCUUGGAGAUUUUUUAAUGCCGAUGCAAGUGGUCUGAAGAUGUCUUCGUGACCAAAUUUACAAAGUGAUAAGGGAGAUAUGUGAUGGAACAUGUGGAAACGUUUUUAGGUCUUACAAUAUAAAAACACUAAAAUUGCAGACUUUCUAAGGGAGAUAUGUGAUGGGAUGUCAGCUAACCAUUAUUUCAUACAGAGCUCCCCUCAGCCACCCUAACCCUGUCACGACGCUCUAUGAGCACUUCCUCUAAGAAGAGGAGACACUUGUGCAUGCUGUGCAAGGUGAUACACAAGAUUGAGUGAUGGUCUUGUAAGCUCACGGCGAUCAUGGAAGUAGUGCAGUUCCUUCGUACAAGGAGAAGGACGCCGGGGCGCGGGAGUCUAAACAGGACCGGGUGCUUGCGUGUGAGACCCUCAAAGAUGUGCUUAAUCAGCUUGCUCUUGCAUAGGUCGAACACCAAUGAGUGAUUGUGGUGCUAUGUGAAAUACUAAAAUACAGGUGCUCAAGCGGUCGUUGAUUGAUAUUAUGUAGCUUUCCUUUGCAUACGUUAUCAACUACAUAUACAUGUGGCCACAUAUGAUAAUCUGUUUUCAAAUACAUGUGACAAAUUCUUGAAAAAUUGGAUUGUAACAUUGUGCAGAAGAGAGAAGAGAGAAGAGAUAAGAGAGAGACAUGUAGAGCAAGAGAGGGAUAGAGAGGAUGGAGGAAGGGAGAGAGACUGUUGUUUGGUUGUUAUAUUGUAGAGAGACAGAUGGACUGUUCUUUGAUUUUAAUAUUGAAGGGAGCGAGUUUAACAUGACGUAAAAAAACUACAUAGCUUAUGUGUGAGGGGGAGCUAUGUUGGAAGGGAGGUUGUGAGAAGAGGUGGAAAGCCUGUAUUACUAUUGAGGCUGUGGCGCGCUAGCUCAAUGUUGAGGCGGCGGCGCAAGAGGUUGUCAGGGAGAGAAGGAGGCAUGCCAUGCUAUUUGUGAGCUGCAUUGGAAUUUUUCAUAAAGAAGAAGGGUGAAAAAUAUAGUAGUGGAUAGUAUUUUCCUCUGUAGGAAUCAAGGUUAUCGAACCAAUAGGAGAACCAAGCAAAUUCCUAAUAAGCAGUACCAACACACACAAGAACAAAUACUUGCACCUAACACGGGCAAGAGGGUUCUCAAUUAUCUUGAACUUGUUACUUGCAAGGAUUAAACCUGGUAAUGAUAGAUAGAUAAAUUGAAAAGUAAAAUAAAAGAAAAGAAAAUUGUAAUAAGGUAUUUUUGGUUUUAACAUAUGAUAAAAGUAGACCUGAGGGUCAUAGUUUUUAUUAGAGGCUUCUCUCUCGAAACAUAUCAUACGGUGGGUAGACAAAUUAUUGUUGAGCAAUUGAUAGAAAAGCGCAUAGUUAUGACGAUAUUCAUGGCAAUGAUCAUGUAUAUAGGCAUCACAUUUGUGUCAAGUAGACCGAAACGAUUCUGCAUCUACUACUAUUACUCGACCAAUCCACCGCUAUACAACAUGCAUUUUUGGUAUUAAAUUCAUAGCAAACAGAAUAACGCUUUAAGAGCAUCUCCAAUAGAAUAUGUAUAUGCAAAAAUAACUAACCUUCACAUCUCUCAGGGGCAAGGGCCAAAAACACCUCUCCAACAGAUGGUGUAGAUACAAAAAAAUGCAUCUCCACCUCCUGGAGAUGUAAACAACAACACCUCGCGGUGCAAAUUUGCAUCUCCACCUACAGAAGAUGUAAAAUCUCAACCACCCGCCAACUGGCCAACUACCGUUCCAUUCUCUUCCGCGCGACCAGCCGCCGCUCGGCCAACUCUGCCGCUGGCCGAAUCGCACCAAAUCGUCGCCUCCGCCGCCCGCCCGACGGCCGCCGGGCUCAACGUGACUUUGCCCCCCUCCCCCCGCCGUCCUCCGCAGCCUGCCUCACCGGCUCCGAAGUUCCUCCACCAUCGGUCGCCACCAAUUUCCGCCAGCCGAUUCGGCCGCGCCGCCGCUCCUCCGCUAGCCCCCGACCGUCGCCUCCCCUCCCCCAGCCCCCGUCCGUCGCUCGAGUCGCCCUGCCCACCACCCCGCCGCCCGUCGCCACCGCUACGUNNNNNNNNNNNNNNNNNNNNNNNNNNNNNNNNNNNNNNNNNNNNNNNNNNNNNNNNNNNNNNNNNNNNNNNNNNNNNNNNNNNNNNNNNNNNNNNNNNNNNNNNNNNNNNNNNNNNNNNNNNNNNNNNNNNNNNNNNNNNNNNNNNNNNNNNNNNNNNNNNNNNNNNNNNNNNNNNNNNNNNNNNNNNNNNNNNNNNNNNNNNNNNNNNNNNNNNNNNNNNNNNNNNNNNNNNNNNNNNNNNNNNNNNNNNNNNNNNNNNNNNNNNNNNNNNNNNNNNNNNNNNNNNNNNNNNNNNNNNNNNNNNNNNNNNNNNNNNNNNNNNNNNNNNNNNNNNNNNNNNNNNNNNNNNNNNNNNNNNNNNNNNNNNNNNNNNNNNNNNNNNNNNNNNNNNNNNNNNNNNNNNNNNNNNNNNNNNNNNNNNNNNNNNNNNNNNNNNNNNNNNNNNNNNNGACCUCGCCGCCUCCGCGCCGUCCGCCCCGUCGCCACUGCCCGAGCCCGUUGCCCCCGCGUCGUUUGCCCCGUUGCAGCCGCUUCGCCGCCCACCUCCACAUGCCGCCGCUCCGACCUCGCCCGACCUCGUUGCCUUCGUGCCAUCCGCCCCGCCGCUGCCGCCAGACCUCGCCGCCACCUCAAAUGAAGUAGUGGUUGAAAUAUAGUUUUUACAUCUCCAUUUGCAUCUUCUAUUGAAGUAGCUGUUUUACAUCUCUGUUUGGCAUCGUAUGUUGGAAUUGGCCCUUUUUUGGAAAUGCAAAAGGCACUUUUUAGAUAUGCAAACUUUUACAUCUCUUGUUUUACAUCUUCAAAUUUGCAUCUUCUAUUGGAGAUGCUCUAAGCAAGAUGACAUAAUGUAGACAGAUUGAAACCAUGUUAAACCCCGUCGUUACACAAGGCCAUCAAAGGUUAGGAACAGCGCUUUCACUCGAAGGUCCGAAGCUUGGUUAGACUGAAUUUUAGAUAACCACAUAUUUGAAUGUGUUUCUAAAGAAGAAACCAACCGAAGAAUGACAUGUAGAAAAUCCGCUUACCAUUUAUUAUUUUCUCUUGCAACGUCCAAUAUUUUCUACAUGAGUAACAAGAUUACUACACCCACAUCCAAAUCUCUUCUGCAAUUAUCAUGCAGAUCCCAUCAGAUCAUCGACAAGGAGAAGGACGCCGGGGCGCGGGAGUCUAAACAGGACCGGGUGCUUGCGUGUGAGACCCUCAAAGAUGUGCUUAAUCAGCUUGCUCUUGCAUAGGUCGAACACCAAUGAGUGAUUGUGGUGCUAUGUGAAAUACUAAAAUACAGGUGCUCAAGCGGUCGUUGAUUGAUAUUAUGUAGCUUUCCUUUGCAUAUGUUAUCAACUACAUAUACAUGUGGCCACAUAUGAUAAGCUGUUUUCAAAUACAUGUGACAAAUUCUUGAAAAAUUGGAUUGUAACAUUGUGCAGAAGAGAGAAGAGAGAAGAGAUAAGAGAGAGACAUGUAGAGCAAGAGAGGGAUAGAGAGGAUGAAGGGAGAGAGACUGUUGUUUGGUUGUUAUAUUGUAGAGAGACAGAUGGACUGUUCUUUGAUUUUAAUAUUGAAGGGAGCGAGUUUAACAUGACGUAAAAAACUACAUAGCUUAUGUGUGAGGGGGAGCUAUGUUGGAAGGGAGGUUGUGAGAAGAGGUGAAAAGCCUGUAUUACUAUUGAGGCUGUGGCGCGCUAGCUCAAUGUUGAGGCGGCGGCGCAAGAGGUUGUCAGGGAGAGAAGGAGGCAUGCCAUGCUAUUUGUGAGCUGCAUUGGGAUUUUUCAUAAAGAAGAAGGGUGAAAAAUAUAGUAGUGGAUAGUAUUUUCCUCUGUAGGAAUCAAGGUUAUUGAACCAAUAGGAGAACCAAGCAAAUUCCUAAUAAGCAGUACCAACACACACAAGAACAAAUACUUGCACCUAACACGGGCAAGAGGGUUCUCAAUUAUCUUGAACUUGUUACUUGCAAGGAUUAAACCUGGUAAUGAUAGAUAGAUAAAUUGAAAAGUAAAAUAAAAGAAAAGAAAAUUGUAAUAAGGUAUUUUUGGUUUUAACAUAUGAUAAAAGUAGACCUGAGGGUCAUAGUUUUUAUUAGAGGCUUCUCUCUCGAAAUAUAUCAUAUGAUGGGUAGACAAAUUAUUGUUGAGCAAUUGAUAGAAAAGCGCAUAGUUAUGGGGAUAUCCAAUUCUGAGCUCAGGCUCAGAUGACCCUGAAAUCUCCCCCACUCAUUCGCAUGUGGAUCAGCGCCCUGUAAUGUAUUCCAGUUUGUAUUCAGGCAGUAUUGUUUCCGAUCACAGCGCGUGCGCUGGCGCAUUUAUUACGACGGCAAACGUCAACCCGUACGCGGAACAGCGGUAGUGGACACGGCCCAGUCAUUUUUCUGUAUUAGGCUGAGCCGUCCCGAGGUCGCCAGCUAGUUCAUGAGGAGUAUAUGUUCACUCGUUCCCCACACCGAAACCUACACAAUCUCAUCCCCUGUUUCUCAAAACACGCGCGCGCGCGCGCACACACACACAAUCUCGUCCUCAGACCCCACUGCCGUCCUCAACGCCCCUCCUAAUCCCGCAGUUAACAGUGUCCGCGUCCGCAUGGUUUGUCUAGCAGUCAGCACGCUAGUUUGCAAACUAGCUAUAUACGAUUUCAGUGUCCAUGUGCAAACUAGCUUGAACAUACAUCAAUGCUAGCUUUGUAUCAGUUUCACAUUCAGAUUUCAGUCCUGAACAAUGUUAAAACUACAUUAAGACUUGCAGCAAUGAGCAAAUCUUCGGUCCAUUUGAUACAGUGUUAGAUUCAGUUUAUCAAAUGCAGCAACGAGCAGUUUUAAAACUAACAUAAUUUCAGUGAGCAUACAUCACUGCUAGCUUAAACAUCAGAUUCAGGUUUCAGAUUUCAUCCUGAACAUGUGCUUGAACACCAGAUUUCAUAGUUGUGAACAUACAUUCAGAUUCUCCUGAACUUUGCGAUGAACAACAAGUCAAUGGCAGCCCCUUAUUUAUGAUGAAUUUGAUUCUCCUGAACAUCAAAUUUUAGUGCUGAACUUUUCCAAGUCAAUGGCAGCUGCUCUGAAGACCUGUCCUGAAUAUUAGAACAAAGUUUCAGGAAUUUACUUUGUAGCUUAUAUCAAGCUUUUUCAUGCCGAUCAUUUGUUCCAAUAACAUAUAUGCAGCUAGCAAACAUGCGGACAUGCACGUGUACUGAACUGGGACAUGCAGCUAGCGAGCACUGAUGAAAAUAAGAUAUUGUAUAGAUUGAUACUACUCCCUCCGUUCACUUCUAUAAGACGUCCUAGACAUUUAGGACAACACUUAAAACAGUUUAAUUUCAGCUGCCUAAAACGACUUACAAAAGUGAACAGAGGGAGUAAUAAUCUUCACCAAUUGAGAUUAAUGGUUAUAUAAAAAUUAAGAGUGGCAUGUACUAGUACUAAAAAUGAAGGAUAUUUGGUUUGGUCCUUCCACUAAAACAAGCAGGUAGCAUGGGGACUUUAGUAUCUAUUAACUUCAAUUCUCUGGAGAUGCCACUUACUCUUUGUUGCUAAGUAGGUCUUGACUAGACACAGUUUUCCUAUCUCUGGGCUGCCACAAAAAUGACCCUUUGCUGAAAUGAGAAUACUAAAAAUAAAUCAUUACACAUACUGACAUGCAGUACCAAAAUGCUUCAGGUGGCAUUAUGCAUACUGUCCAUGUGCAUAAGAGUAAGAAAAUGUCAGGUAGUGUUACUUGUUAGGGCCACAAGCAUGUUUCUUGAGUAUGAAAAUGAGCUUACCGCUGGCAAGUCCAAUAUUAGCAGCGCAUCAUCAUCAUCUCCUGCACCCACCUUCUGCUGUGAUAAACCAGUGAUGGCUUUUUCUUCAUUGUAACAGUUGCUGUUUCAGAAGAAAAUCAGUGGAACAGUUGCUGUUUCAGGGAUAUUGUGUGAGCGGGUAAAGGGAUUUGACAGUUUCCAAAUAUCAGGUACCUAUAUAGUACCUUGUAGUAGAAGCACUUGACUAGGUUCAGAAUUCACAAUUUUCUUACAACAUGGAGCAUUCCCUGGUGGCAUUUGCUGCUUAUAAACUACAGAGAAUACUGAAAAUAAAUCAUGCUAAGUAUCAGACCUAUAACCACCUCCUUUCUCGCCUGAUCCUUGUCCUCAUCCUCCCACGCCGGAUUCCUAUUCUCUUCCUCCGUUGGCGUCUUGUGCUUGUCCACCGCAGCACCGGACAUCUUGCUCGACUGGCAGCAACGAGCAGCGAGUAGUGGUGGCACCGGCGGAGACACAAAGACGACGCAUGUGGGGACAAGCGGGAUGCCAGGACUGCGACGAGCGGGGAGCAGGGGCAUACUUGCGAAUUGACUGCUCUAAAGCACUCAUCCUAUAUGGACACGGCGUUCUGUCCGGUGGCGCA
rnacentral:lncRNA from 1 species